UUAUUUGUUUUGUAGGUACAAUUUUGUCCAAGAACAAGGAGGAAGAAAUUUGCAUCCACAAAUUGGUGCUUUAAUUGAGAGCUGAGUCACACACUCGUAGAAGACUCUCGCAUCUAAGGUUUUUUGUUUUCUUGUUCAUUUGUAGAUUUUUCGUACAUUCUUAUUCUUAGAAUUUUUAUUUCUAAAGAUUCUUUGGUAAAACGUAAAAGAAAAGUACAAUGGCAAGGGACUCGGAAACCUCGAAGAACGAAACUUUCUAUGUUCAAAGAUCUGGAUCAAAUGAUGGAGGACGAGAUGUAAACCCACCACGACGAUCCACAAGGCACCCAGCAUAUUUUAAAAAAAAUGCUCAAACUAUCACUUGAAAUUGCAUGAACGAGUAACAAUCGAUUUACAUUCUGGGGAAUGGAAAAGGAACAAAAUAAAGUUUUCAAGUAGCACACAGAAUACAAAAAUACUACACUGUCAGUGUAUGUACACACUCAAUAAAUUGAAAUCGGCGUAGUAUGCAAAACUUUUUCGACAAAAAGUGAAAUUCAUGACUUCAGUUUUCGACAGUAAACGCGAAAUAUGGCAGGUGGAAAAUGAAAGACUAACAAUAAAACAAAAUAUUAAUAAUAUAUUAUUAGUUGCAGUCGAAUUCAGAAACAAUGAACUUUUUAAGGAAGAAGAGGGAAAUGAAAAUAUCCAAUUGCACGUGAUUUUUCGGCAUGUACUUAUAAAUUAUAAUCUUUGUCAUAUUACAGCUUCUCAGUUUCAUUAUAUAUUUCUUGUGGUCAUAAGUGGCUCGUAGCAAUUUCCCUUAUUUCUUUCCACACAAGAUCAGAGAAAAAGUAACAAAAAAUUGUGACUAAAACUGCCCUCAAAACACAUACAAUUGAUAGAGUCUGUCCUUUCUCAGGGACAAGUAACAUAAUUGAACUAGCGGAAUGAAUAAAACUUUUCUAAAGAGUGAAGAUGGAUAUUCUCCAACACCAGAAUCAACUCAAUUCGGUGGUAAACAGGUAUUGCACCCUUCUGGAUUCAAAGGUGCAAUAAGCUAGAAGCUAUAUCGCACUUUUUUAACUUCCACUAAUAAGCAAUCAAUGUAAUUAAGUUUCUGACCCUUAUACUGCGUUAUUGUUGCAAAAAGAUUUCAGCUACUGGUGCCUGAAUCCUUAUUACACAGCUCUAUGGUAAGUUUCAAGCAGCUGCAAGGACUAAUUUGUGCUAAUCUUGAAGGAAUCAAAGCAGGUUCCUGUUCUUUUGAAUCAUAACUUUUUCUGGGUUAUGGAACAAAUAUAAUUUCUACGUUAUUAUUAUUUACAGAAGGGAGGGGGGACGCUAACGCAUUUUCCUUCAAAAAUCCUGCCAUGUUUCAAAAAAUUGAUUGUAUACAGGAAGGAUUAAAAUUUCAGGAUUCAAAAGUUUCUACCAAAUGGCGGCUUGGAUAUAAUUUGGAUAAAUUAAUAUUAAAAAAUAAGAUUGUUUUGUUUAUGCUUUUGUAUGUAACAGAACAUUCACCUUAAAUGCAGCUUCAGGCUCUUCCACCCCGGGCUUAGCAGAAAUUGCUACUACCCACUACAAGCAAUAAUACAUCAAACAUUACCAACUUCAUAAGAUGUGUGUCAAGAUGUUAUUCUAAUAAAUAAAACUCUUCCCAAUACUGAUAAUCCAUUCGAGAAAUCCCUCAACAGGAGAAUAAAAAGAAUAAAUCAGCAUAAUCAUCAUGAGAUGCCUAAACAAAAUCCUACAAUUAAAACCUGUAUUUAUCCAGCUAAAACUACCACUAACAAAUAUGAUUGUUUUAUUUCGACUAACAAGUGGUAAAAUUAUAAUCUGGCAAAUGUUAAAAAUGCACAAGCCCAAGUAAUCACCUGUAAGCCGUAGAAAUGUUACUGCAUCUUUGGCCGAACGCCUUAAUGGCCUGUCCCAGGUCAGAGUUAGUCAUGUACCCCUGAGCUACAUCAACACUGUGUCACCAAUUUUUUUCACAUUUUCAGUAAACACAUAAUUAUAUCAAAUUAGACUAUAUAAUUCUUGUUAAGCUGCUAAGCUUCAACUUUAGUGAUAAAUACCGCGUCUGAGACUCCUUAUCUUCAAACAAUUGCCUGCCGGAACCAGCGCGAGGACCAAAUUCGAAACCUAUCAACAUUUAAUUUACAAUUAGCUAAAUUCUUAAUGCUUAAAGAUUUAGUUUCCUUUUCUAGUAGCGCUAAUCCACCUAAAAUGUAAAGAAUUUAAGGAAGCAAUAGGCAUGAUAAUCUAUCUGAUCAUAAUUAACUACCGUUUGGUAGCUGAAAUAUCAAAGGAAAAUUUUUCAAUUUACUUCUUGUUCUUGUAAUCUCAGUUUUUCAACUCCCAAAGAACUAAACGCACACACAUGAAUAUAGAAUGUAUUCAAAUAUGUAUGUGUGUGUGUGUGUGUGUGUGUGUGUGUGUGUGUAUGACAGAUGAGGAGACGGGGACCUGGAGGGUAGGAACUGUGAAGGCCGCCUCUAGCGGUGGCAGGACGAAGAAAAGAGGAGAAGCCUGAGAGAGAGGAAGAGGAUGGAAAGAGCAAGCUUCAUGAUGUGAUCUUUGGAUUGACGAUGGUGGCGAUGGAGCUCCAGAAUCGGAUUCAGGAAGCCAAGGAGUAAAAGAAGAUGAAAACGUAACGACGAAGAUUGGAGACGCGGGAUCUCGCGGGAAAAUGGGCUGCAAAUUCCGUUGGAAGCGAAGUAACGGGGACUUGGAGUUCGAGAUAUGGGUUGCAAAUGGAUCUCGGCCCAUUUUUCAAACAGCCCGAACCAAACUAAAUUCUAUAGGUUGAUUUUUAUUUUAUUUUUUAAUAAACAACAAUAUUUUACAUUAUAGGGCUUGAGUUAAAUAAAAGAUAAAUAUCACUAACUAUAUUGGUUUGGUAUUGAAAAAAUUGAUUUUGGAAGUAGUUGUCUAUUUCGAAUGUAAUUAUGUAAAUUUUCUCUUGUAUUUACUAAUUCGUAAGGAAUUGAAAAAAUGUUAACUUUCUUUAAUAUUUGUUAUCAAAUAUCAAAAUAUCAGGAAGCAUAUCGACUAGGACGGCUAGUUGAGCCGAUUCCCUUCUCUUACAUUUUCAUACUUCUAAGUUCUCUCAUUCCUUCAUUUUCUUAUUCCUAAUAAGUAAACAUUGAAUUAAUUGAUAUGGAUCCAAUGUUUUAAUGUUUUAAUGUUUCAAAUACUACUUAGGAUUCAGAUUUCAUACAAAAAUCGAAAACCCUUAUCAAUUGCAUCUGACUGGGAACAAAUUUGGUGAGCCCUUGAGUCAGGGCUACACUAGAUUAAAAUAGGGCUGGUUAAAAAAUUCGAAAAUCGAAAAAAACCGAAUCGAUACAAAACCGAACUAAAUAGAAAUUGGUUAGUUUGGUUUUAGCUUUAUGGUUCAAAAACCGAACCGAACUAAAGUACCACUUCAAACGAUGUAGUUUUUGUAAUUUUGUCUUUUACAGGAGGACAAUGCAGUAACACUCAAAACGAUGUAGUUGUUGUGUAUAUAUACACUUGUAUAAACAAAUUGUUGUGCUUUUAUAUAGAUACAUUAUCAUUAACAUAAUUCACUCAAUACAAAUAUAUCAAAGAUCAUAUUGUGGCUCAUACUUUUCAUCGUACAUACCGUCACUGUAUUAUUUAUUAACGGGUGUCUGAUUGAGUUUGAGAAAAUUAUCACAUUAACAAAGUGAUGUCUUUAAUUUAUUUAUGUGUUGUGAUUGACAGUAAAGAAGAGUUCUUUUGUAGAACCAUAUGAUCCAAUUAUUUUUCUGCCUAUUAUGGGCAGAAACGGGUAAUUGAUCAUUUUAGCCUCAAUUGUUUUGGUAGAGUUUAAUUGAUAUUGUUGUAGUCAGUGUCUUUGGAGAAACAUGUUUCAUGCACUGCAGACUGGUUCCUAAAGGGUGCGUUUGGUACGUGGGACGGGACGGGACGGAACGGGACGAGGCGUUCCGUCCCGCGUUUGGUGCGCCAAAAAUGGGUGGAACGGGCUGUUCCACGGGACAGAUUUUGAGUGUUUUUGCGUUCCACCUCCCCCCCUGGAACGGGUUUGUUCCACGUUUGUGGAACACAAUGUUUUACCAUUUUAAGACAAAUAUACCCCAUGUCUUUUUCAAAAAUUACACCUUCGUUCCGUCCCGUCCCGUCCCGUCCCGUUCCGUUCCGUUCUGUCUGCGUACCAAACGCACCCAAAAUGAUGAGAAAAGUUUUAUAGUGGGUGACAUAAUUAUCUUCCUCUUGAAAAAAACAGAGACAUGAAAUCCUUUCUCAGAAGAAAGAUAACAUGUCCCAACAAGGAAUGGAAAUAUGCCAUGGUCGGUCUGCCACUUUUUUGGUGGAAAAUAAUUGUCCUUCAACUUCGGUUUUUCUCUUGAACGAGUAUUGGGAAGUGGACAGCUCUUGUAUGGAGAUUUCCCUGUUGCUUCUUUCAGACGGAUUUACCUUGCACCAAAACGUUAGGUGUGACUCAAAUUUACCUCCGUGUUUUAACAUUGUGACAUGAUAACACGUAAUAGAUUAAUUACACCAUUGUCUUAAUGCUCACAUUUCACAUAAAGAAAAAAGAUUGAGUGACGUUUAACCAUAACUUCUCUUUCUUUUUUUGGACCAUUACCAAUUGUUUUUUAUACGAAAUUUUUACGAUACUUGAGAAUAUGAGAUACGCUGAAUAUUUUAACAAUUGAAUCUUUGUUUAGAAAUACAAAUACCAAAAUAUAACAGAUAUAACACCCUACAAACCACCCUAAAUUUUUUAUUCUUUUACUCUUAGUUUAGGUCAUCCAAACGAAAAAGGAUCCCUCUAGAUCCAUUACGUGGGGAUCUCAGGAAUCUUCAUAAUUCAGCUAUUCAUAGUAUAUUGUAUAGUAAAAAAUUAUUUAAUUUUUAUUAUUUUAAAUUAAACUUAAAUAACAUCGGAUGAAAAAUGAUCGUAAGAUAAACGAUAAUGAUUGAAAUGUGAGAAUAAUAGAUCCGGAAAUCCUUUUCCCAUCCUAACAAUCAUAUUAACUUUUUUUGUUUUUUGUUAUAAAAAUAAUUCAUUAGCUGACACUAUGACCCACCCUAGACUGUCUGGUCACCACCAUCACCACUACUACCAACAGAUGAACUCGGGCUGUCCAAGUGUCCAUCUUUGUCUGUUUUUUAGGAACCGAAAGGCAUAGGCUGCCAUUCUUUGUCUCUGUGCUGAAUCUGCUGAUGGGAACCAAAAGAAAACCAUCCACUGCCUUGUACAUUGGUAACAAACGAAUUAACGGACAAUUAAAGAGACAUGAAAAUAUAUUAUACAGAUGUGCUAUCCAUACACAUUUUUUUACUUUUUUCGCAUUUUUUAUUAAUUUAUGUCAUUGAUCUUCUUUAAUUCAUCUAAUCCGACGAUCGAAAAUUAAAAAGAUACGAGAGAAAUAAAAAAAGAUGUGUGAAUAUCACAUCCAAAAGCCUCGGCAUUGAUCUGCUAUCUUUUUACUUGUUCAUUCAAUUAUUGUUUCAUGUUUGCAGUACCUGUUUACAUCAACUACCUUUUUUCGAUGGCAUUAAGCACCCAAAGAGCCUCGACAUCCUGUGUUUUGAAUGAAUCAGCUCCUCGAUGGAAGUAUGAUGUGCUUUUGAGUUUCAGGGGUGUAGACACCCGCAAGGGUUUUGUAUCCCAUUUAUACCAUGAAUUGUGCAAUUGCCAAGGAAUUACGACUUUCAUGGACGAUCGAGAGCUUGAAGGAGGAACAAGUAUUCCUUCUGAAAGUUCUAGGAUGGGUACUAGUUUAACCUAGAGGGGGUGAAUAGGUUCCAAUUUAAAAAUCCAAUUCAAUUUUCAAUUUAAUUUUCAGUUCUCAAAUUAAAUCCAUAUUCAUAUCACAUAUCAAACUAUCAUACUCAUAUGAAAUUAAAACGAUAAAUAAAAAGUACACACAUGAUGUAGGAUUUUACGAGGCAAAACCCACCACUAGGAAAAUCCUCGGGCUACCAAGCCAGGAAGCACUAAGAAAGAAAGAAUACAUAAAGACUUACAAAACUCAUCAACUAGACACUCAUACCAGUUGGCAGCUUUGUCUCCGCGCUUUGCUACUCGAUCUUUCUUCAGUCUUCGAGUUGAAGUGGCACGACACUAACGCAGCCGUCAAUCACCUUUCCCUCGAACUUUGCAGGAUGCUAACUCGAUCAUGCAGAAUGUUUAUAUGAUGAAGUGUUUGUUUGAAAAACAAUCAAUUACGAAAAUCACAAGGCACAUUUCCAUAAUUGACAUUCAAUAAAAAACCAAAUGAAAAUCAGCAUGAAAAUAAUAUUUUUCUCUUUAAAAACACAUGCUAUUGAAACCACAAGACAGCAGCAAUAUCAAAAAUAUUUUUUUUCCUUAUUCCCAAAAACGCCAAGCUGCUGCCUAUCUUUUGUUUGUCAAAGAACGCCCAAAUAUAUGCAUGUGUGGCUGCCUUUUAAACAAAACAAAACCCUAACCUCCUGUAUACCUCACGGCACCUCACCAAUUAAAUUGAUAAGGAUGGAAAACCAUUUAGAUAACUCCCAUGCAAUCAGAUUAUUUUGAAAUCAUGUUUUAAUAAUUAAUGUAGAAAGGAUAAGUCAUUCUAAAGAGAUAAAACCCACAAAGGGUAAGAGUCCUAACCCAAAUACAAUAACAUGAGAUAUCAGAUGAAUGUAGUUGGAUGCAUGCAUGCAAACGUACCUGGAUGAGUAUCGUGUUUUAGUAACAUCUUCGCAUUGAAAGUGUGAGAAACCUCCCUAGACUAAAACUAUUACAAUUGUAAAUAUGUAACAAGUCUAAGCUAUUACAGACUCAGGCAUUUUGUCAGGGAUUGCCAAUAUUACCCUAACAAUCUCCCCCUUUGGCAUUUCCUAGACAAAAUCCUCUAUCACAGUAUUACAGACAACUAAUAAACUUAACGACCAUGCAUAACAUUGAAGUCUGUAACCUGCACACACUCAAACAAGAAAACCUGUGACGUACAAAAGAUAUAUGCUGCUGUAAAUGAAAGCAUUUAUCUAUAAUAGCAAGCAACCAAAAACAACUAGGCUUUCGAAAUUCUACUUCUCCCCCUAAAUAUAGGCUUCCUACUUCUCCCCCUUUUUGUCUAGAAAGGUCAAAGGCCUUAGAGUUAACCAUCAGGUGCAGUCAGCGGAAGAUAAGUGGAACAAAACAAAAUGUGAUAAAAUAAAAGUGGGGACGAAAUUGGGAGGAAAAGAAUAUCAAAGUAAUGAUCAAAAGAAUAAACAUGGAAAGAAACGAACAUCUUUCAUAUUGUUAAGCUCCCCCUAAACAAAUGCUUUAAAAAAUAUAAUGAAAUGCAGCACGCAAAUGAUAUGAUAUAUAUAUAUAUAUAUAUAUAUAUAUAUAUGUAUAUAUAUAUAUAUAUAUUUUUUUUUUAAUUUUUUUUUUUAUUUUUAUGAGAAGCAUAUAAUUGUUCCAACAAGAAUGAAAGAGUGCAAAGACACAUGUAGUUAUGAAUCCUCAUUCACAAGCUAACAUUGUCCCUAAAAUAUAACAUGUAUGAGUGUAGUUGCAAGUAUAGCCGAAAGUUGAUACUACACAAAUGUAAUUAAGUCUUACAGGACCAACUUAACUUUAACCCUUAAGCUCACAAGAUAUACGCUCGAAUUUUCAUUCAAAGUGUUUGGGGGUAAGUGUAUACGCUCAAAAGAUCAUUACAUGAAUGUUCUACCAUAGGCUUGCAGAUUGAUCUCAUCUCCACACAUCAAAAAUUACCUUCUUUGGAUCAAGUAGGUCUUUGUGAAGGGUUGUAAUGCGGCUUCAGGUACUCGGUUAAAGAAAUGAAGGAUAUAGGAAACACAAAGUCUAAGAAACUAAUAGAGUAGUUGGAAAUGAAACCAAGAGAGAAAUAUAACAACGAACCAGGUAACUUAGCACUCAAUUGAGCGGUUGGAUUUAAGACAUGAACGACAUACAACCGCACAAUUCAUUUCAGAUGAUUCUUGCUCUUCAUUUAGACCAACACACUUGAUUUCUUAUAAUGCUGGCAGCUCACUUAUGAUUCAUAGUGACUUAUUUUCCUCUUUUCUUCUUUUGCUUUUCAUGUGUUGUUGGCUUUCUUCACAAAAAUUUUGCAUCUUCAACUUUUAAAAUAACAUUGAACUCUCUCCUUUGAAAAACGUACUCUACUAGCUUCUUAGUAGGGUAGGGAAUUUUUAAUGUAAGAGGCUAGGUAAGGAAAAUGUAGGUUUAAGAACAAAAGGCUUACAUAUAGGCUCAAAAGGGUUAACUGGGGGAAAACAUAUAAGGCACUGGCAUAUAUGGCAAUGAUGGUAAGUCCUAAUGCCUACUAUCGUCUCCAAAAUAGAAUAAUAUGUGAUACAAAGUUUUGAGAGGUCUCAAAGCAAGUUCUAGAGAAGCAAAACACAUAAGAUCACACACAUGAAAAAAAUAAGAGUGUAUGAAAAAUGCACACACUAUAUUUUAGGCACAAAAGCUCACAUGGGUGCGGGUUUUACUCAAGUUAAACAUGUUCAACUCAUUAACAUUGAUAUAUUAUCAACAAUAGGCUAUUGUCCACAACAGAGUCAAACAUAUCAUGCUAGGGUCAUGUUAUCAAGUGAACAAAGCUAGAAUUCAUAUGAAAUCAUACUUUUCCAUUUUUUCCUCAUACAUUUUUAAAAAUUUUUAUUUUUAUUUUUAUUUUUUAUUUUUAACAAGAAGAAGGACAAAAAAUGCAGUAUUUAUGCUAUAUGAACAUGCAAGCAUGCAUUAAUGAAAACAUUUGCAAAGAGAGAGCUUAGUCAAUAUAAACAACUUGAAAGUGGAGAUAAAUUGACAAGUACACCACUUUGAUUCUCUUUUCUUCUCCAAACUUGUCUUACUUUUGGAACUACCGUACUUGGAAUAGAUAUAAUUCUUGCAAUCCGAUUAAUCUCUUUCAAAUAAGUCACAAAUUGUUCCUUAAGAUUUUCUUUUUCAAAGUUCCUUGAAACUUUUUCUUGAGAAGAAUUUUUCUUUCUAAGCUUAUUGCACUUAGGCCGGAUGUGACCAGGGAUCCCACAAAAAUGACAUAUAGGAAUGAACUUCCUAGAUUGUUUGGGUUUAUUAGGAUUAAUUGAAGUCUUGGUAGGAUUUGACACAUUUGCAAAGAUUGUAGAUGUUUCAGAAGUAAGACCUACACCUUGAUCAGCACCUACUCUUGAGCUAGGAAUAUCAGAUGCUUUGACAAAUCUUGUGAUGGAAGAAGAACUAAUAGUCUUUUCAGACUCAAAUCCUAGACCUCUUUUAUCUCCAAAAUUCUUUCCAUAGCUAAGCAUCUUGUCAAUUUUUCCCGAACCUAUGCUUAAUUCCUGAACUUUGUUUUUCAUCUCAACCAAUUCAUCCUCAAGAGCUUUCUUAUUAGACGUGAGAGUGCUUAUUGUGGUUUGAAGAAUAUGUAUCUUCUCUAACAAUGACUCUCGCAGUUUCUCUCCAUUGUCCAACUGAGAUUGAUGCUCAACUUCAGCUUCUUUCUUUUCACUUUCUACAAGUGCAAGUUUCUUCUUCAAGUUAGAGUUAUCCUUCUUUACUUGCACACUGAUGUCAUAGAGAUCAGAAUAUUUUCUCAAGACUUCUUCCAAGUCAGGUUCUUCAACAAAUGAACCUUCUGUGUCAUAUCCAUCAACAGUUCCUAUAAACGCAAUCGUAUCCUUCUCAGAUUCCGACGUAGAUGCCUCCCCUGAAUCACUAUCGCUCCAAGUGACCUUCAUUGCCCUAUUCUUCUUCUCUUUUCUCUUGAUAGUGUUUGCACACUCAGAAGCAAUGUGUCCAUAGCCUUGACACUCAUGACAUUGAACCCUAUUGUUAGAACUCCUAUGUUCACUAGUUCUAGAUGAUCUAGAGGCUUUGUCAUGUGAGACAUCUAGAGAACGAAAGUUUUUUGAGUUCGAACCUGAGUUGGUUCGUUGCUCACGACCCUUGGAUUUUUGAGACUUGAGAAACCUUCUAAUUUGCAUGGUUAAUUCAACCAAUUCAUCUUCGGACAAGUCUUCAAUUGAGCCAUCACUUUCUUCUUCUUUGACAGCUUUGAGAGCAAUGCUUUUCAUCUUCUUAGAAUCAGGAAGCUCUAACUCGUACGUUUGCAGAGACCCAAUUAAUUGCUCAAGCUUGUAGGUGUUUAGAUCUUUCGAUUCCUCAAUCGCUGUCCUCUUAGCAUGAAACCUCAUAGGAAGUGAUCUUAAGAUCUUUUUCACAAUCCUAUGCUCAGGAAUACUGUCACCAAGAUUGUGACAGCCAUUGACAAUUACGCUAAGCUUAGCAUAAAAGUCAGAGAAACUUUCAUCAUCAGACAUUGUGAUAUUUUCGAAUUUUGUGAUGAGAUGUUGAAGUUUGGAUUCUUUAACAGUUGAGUUACCCUCAUGAGUAACUUCAAGAAUGUCCCAAGCUUCUUUUGCCGUUGUACACUUACUUAUGUAAUUGAAUUGUUCAGGCGAAACGGCUGUGAAUAAAGAAUUCAAAGCCCUUUGGUUAAAAGUGCUAGAGCUACGCUCAUCAUUGCUCCAUUCUUUCCUAGGCUUAAGCUUAGAUAUCGACACAGAGGAUUCUCCUUUAUCUUUAGUUUCUUCAAUCGUUGGAGGUUCCCAACCUUCUUCAACAGCAAGCCACACCUUGUCAUCUUGCGCCCAUAAAAACGAUUUCAUUUUUUACUUCCACGCAGCAUAGUUGUCACCAUCAAAAUGUGGUGGAUGAGAAACUGAACCCAUAGCACGAUUCAUCCUAGACUACCCACGGAUCUCACUAGGUAUUUUUAGUGACCUGCUCUGGUGCCAAUUGAAAGUUCUAGGAUGGGUACUAGUUUAACCUAGAGGGGGUGAAUAGGUUCCAAUUUAAAAAUCCAAUUCAAUUUUCAAUUUAAUUUUCAGUUCUCAAAUUAAAUCCAUAUUCAUAUCACAUAUCAAACUAUCAUACUCAUAUGGAAUUAAAACGAUAAAUAAAAAGUACACACAUGAUGUAGGAUUUUACGAGGCAAAACCCACCACUGGGAAAAUCCUCGGGCUACCAAGCCAGGAAGCACUAAGAAAGAAAGAAUACAUAAAGACUUACAAAACUCAUCAACUAGACACUCAUACCAGUUGGCAGCUUUGUCUCCGCGCUUUGCUACUCGAUCUUUCUUCAGUCUUCGAGUUGAAGUGGCACGACACUAACGCAGCCGUCAAUCACCUUUCCCUCAAACUUUGCAGGAUGCUAACUCGAUCAUGCAGAAUGUUUAUAUGAUGAAGUGUUUGUUUGAAAAACAAUCAAUUACGAAAAUCACAAGGCACAUUUCCAUAAUUGACAUUCAAUAAAAAACCAAAUGAAAAUCAGCAUGAAAAUAAUAUUUUCUCUUUAAAAACACAUGCUAUUGAAACCACAAGACAGCAGCAAUAUCAAAAAUAUUUUUUUCCUUAUUCCCAAAAACGCCAAGCUGCUGCCUAUCUUUUGUUUGUCAAAGAACGCCCAAAUAUAUGCAUGUGUGGCUGCCUUUUAAACAAAACAAAACCCUAACCUCCUGUAUACCUCACGGCACCUCACCAAUUAAAUUGAUAAGGAUGGAAAACCAUUUAGAUAACUCCCAUGCAAUCAGAUUAUUUUGAAAUCAUGUUUUAAUAAUUAAUGUAGAAAGGAUAAGUCAUUCUAAAGAGAUAAAACCCACAAAGGGUAAGAGUCCUAACCCAAAUACAAUAACAUGAGAUAUCAGAUGAAUGUAGUUGGAUGCAUGCAUGCAAACGUACCUGGAUGAGUAUCGUGUUUUAGUAACAUCUUCGCAUUGAAAGUGUGAGAAACCUCCCUAGACUAAAACUAUUACAAUUGUAAAUAUGUAACAAGUCUAAGCUAUUACAGACUCAGGCAUUUUGUCAGGGAUUGCCAAUAUUACCCUAACACCUUCUGAGCUCCCAAGAGCGAUCGAAGAAUCGCAAAUUGCAAUCGUCGUUCUCUCACCAGACUAUGCUUCUUCCAAAUGGUGCUUGAAGGAACUUACAACCAUCCUUAAGCGCAUGGAAGCCAGGAACUCUAUUCUACCGGUCUUUUAUGAGACAGAUCCAUCUGACGUUGGAAAUCAGAAGGGGUCUUUUGCCAAAGCCUUCGAUGAGCAUGAAGAAAAGUUCAUUAGUACCGAAGACAAGAUGAAGGUGACCCAGUGGAGAGAGGCUCUGAAAAAAGUAUCCAAAAUUUCUGGGUGGCAUUCUAAGGAAUCUAAGUAAGCAUGAACAACUUUAAUUUCCCAUGUCUUAGUAGAGUCAAAAUUGAAUGCUUCGUUUAUGUUUUUUUGAUUGGUUAUUUCAUACCAUGUAGGAGUGAAAGUGAGAUUAUACAACAACUCGUCAAAAGUGUGUGGAAGAAAGUGCAAGCUACAUUCCCGUUGUUAGAUCCCUCACAGGAAUUAGUUGGGGUUAAUUUUGGGCUUGAGCAACUAAGUUCGUUGUUAGCUCAUGAUGUCAAUGAUGUUCGCUUUAUAGGGAUAACGGGGAUGGGUGGCAUAGGUAAGACCACCCUUGCUAAGCUUGUGUAUGAUAGAAUCUUUCAUCAUUUUGAAGUUCCCUGCUUUCUUGGCAACAUUAGAGAGGUUUCUAACGUUGAUCUUCAAAAAAGACUUUUGCACCCUAUGUUGAAGGAAAAGAUUGAAGAAAUUUGGGAUGAAGAGCGCGGAAUCAUUUUCAUUAAAAAGUGCUUACGCAACAAAAAGGUUCUUCUUGUACUCGAUGAUGUGGAUCACAUAAACCAGCUACAAGUACUAGCUGGAAAGGAAGAUUGGUUUGGCAUGGAAAGUCGAAUUAUCAUUACAACUAGAAAUGAACGUCUGCUAGUCCAGCAUGACGUAACAUUAUGUCAUAAUGUCAAAGUGUUGGAUGAAGGCGCAGCUCUUGAACUGUUUAGCCUACAUGCCUUUAAGAAAAAUCUGCCUGAGGAUGGGUUUUGGGAACUAUCAACAUAUUUCAUGAAUUAUGCUGGAGGCCUUCCAUUAGCUCUUGAAACUUUGGGGUCGGCAUUGUUUAAGAGAAGGCUAGACACUUGGAAUAGUGUGUGGGAUAAUCUGUCAAAAAUUCCUAAUCCAACAAUUUUUUAUAAACUUAAAAUAAGUUAUGAUGGACUAGAAGAGUGGGAGAAGAGAAUUUUUCUCGAUGUUGCAUGUUUUCACAAAGGGAAGUACACAAAGCGAGUAAUUGAAAUGCUAGAUGAUUCUUUUGGAUUAUCUAGUAGUAUUAUGAUAGAUGUACUAAUUGAGAGAUCUCUCAUCUAUCAAGAUCAUGAAAAAUGCAUAUGGAUGCAUGAUUUGAUUCAAGAAAUGGCAUGGACAGUUAUUGCUCACGAGUCUAAAGAGCCUGGUCAACGCAGUAGGUUGUGGCUUUACAAUGAUAUUUAUCAUGUAUUCACGACGAAUACGGUAAGAAGUUAAAUACUCAGUUUAGAAGAAGAUAUGAUAUCUUUUGACACUAUAUUAUUAUAUAAAAUUAAUUCGUCCUUUUUUUCCUUAAUUGUUAGGGAACAAGAGCAAUUGAAGCCGUAUCCUUACGCCUGCUCAAAGUAGAAGAGGUGCGCCAGUGGAAUUGCAAAGCCUUCUCUAAGAUGGAUGGACUGAGGUUUUUGGAAUUCGAUAAUUUGAUCUUUUCUUCAGGUCCCAAAUUUCUUCCAUGUUCCUUGAGAAUUAUAAAUUGGAGUUGGUAUCCUUCUAAUUUUCUUCCAACUAGCUUUCGCCCGCACUUGCUUGCUCAACUAAAGAUGUGUAAUAGCAAUCUUGUUCGUGUUUGGGAGGGAAAAGUGGUAAGAGUAGUUAUGAACAAAAGAUAAUACUGGUUACUCACUAGUCAAUACUCAAUUUUUGAUUUUGUCCAAUGAUAUUUUAACACAUUAUUUUAAAAAGUAAUAGGCGUGUUAUUUAAUUUUUCUUGAGUUUUAAAAAUAAGGAACGCUUGACAUUUUUUUAUUGUACAAUCUCGAAGGUCCUAAUUUUUUUCAAUAUUCAUUGAGAAUAAAUGCUAUUUAAUUUACAAAAUAAUCAUAUAUUUAUUUAUUUAUUAUUUUGAAUAAACUUUAAGGUUGUGGAAGUUAAGUAUAUGAUCUGAACGUUAUCGGUGGUGUUGUAUAGGACUUGCCCAACUUGAAAUAUAUCGAUCUUAGCUACUCCAAUAAAUUGAAGAGUACCCCAGAUUUCAAUGGUAUUCCAAAUCUUGAGGAGUUGAUUCUUUGGAAUUGUAAGAAUUUAGUUGAGAUUCACCCGUCUAUUGCAGUUCUCAAAAGGCUUAAACAUUUGCUUCUUAAUGGCUGUGAAAGCAUUAAUAGCCUCCCAAGUGAGGUUGAAAUGGAUUCUCUUGAGACUUUCGAUCUUGAUGGCUGCUCAAAUGUGAAAAAGAUUCCAGAAUUUGGGGAGCAGAUGAAGAAUGUAUUGCGGAUUCACUUAGAUGGGACUACGAUCGAGAAACAAAUGAACAUCUGGUUGGCCUCAAGGAAUUGCAUGUAAGGAAUUGCAAAAAUCUCUUGAACCUUCCAAGGGUGAUUUGUAAUUUGAAGUCUCUUGGAUAUCUCAGUGCGAGUGGAUGCUUAAAGAUUGACAAACUCCCAGGAGACAUGGAUCACUUAGAGGCGUUUUGCUGGGGACCCACUAUGACAGAGCCGCUUGUGAGCAUGAAAAAUCUCAAACGUCUAGUAUUUAAGACAAAUUUUGACAUAGCCACUUGUGGAUCGGAUGGUAAAGCAAGGGAUGGGUGGGUCCUUUGCCGCUUAUUUGGACUUGAAAAGAGUCGCCCUGAUCCUCCUUUUUGUUGGGGUUUGGUGUUAUCUUCUCUAAAUCGUUUAUGCUCUUUGACAGAGUUAUCUCUAGCGAAUUGUAAUCUUCGGGAGGGGGAUAUCCCCGAUGAUAUUGGCUGCUUGUCCUUACUGGGAGUAUUGUAUCUUAGUAGAAAUAAUUUCAUCAGUCUACCUCAAAGCUUUAGACACCUUUCUAAAGUUUUCAGUCUUGAUCUGGAGGGGUGGAAAAGCCUUCAAAAAUUGCCACCUCUUCCAUCAAACAGAGGAUUAAGAGUAAAUCUGGACAAUUGCACUUCCUUACAAAGGUUGUCAGGUCCAUCCAGUUUUUAUGGUGAUUAUGUCACUUGCCGGAAUUGCAUUGCAUUGGUUCAAGAUGAAGACUUGAUUAAUAAGAUUCCAAAAUUUGUCAUUCAGGUACUCUCUCUCUCUCUCGCUCUCUCUCUCUCCUUCUCUCUCUCUCUCUCUAAAUAAUUGAUCUUUCUUCUGCUACAGAGAUUGAAAAUUGUAAUCCCUGGAAGUGAAAUUCCAAAGUGGUUCAAUAAUCAGAAUGUGGGACAUUCAAUAAAUGUGGAGCUUCCUCCACCAUCAUGUACCAACUGGCUUGGGAUUGCCUUCUGUGUUGUUUUUCAAGACCUUAAGAAAAACUUGGCAAAUCCAGCUGCCCUUCGUCAUUAUGAUAGAUUCGAAAUUUGGUAUUUAGAUGCACAUUUUAGCCAUAGAGUUUUGAUCAACCGCAUAGGGUCUGUUGUGUCAGAACACCUUUGCCUAUUUUAUCUGCGUCGUUAUAGAAAUCAACGUCGUGAAAAUUGUCUUCAGGAACAGUGUUUAUUCGAAACUUAUUUUUUUGAUAUCAAGGGACAACUAAAGGCAGACUUGAAUAUGGUGAAGAAGUGUGGGGCUCGUUUGGUGUACGAGCAAGAUUUGAAAGAACUCAACCAAAAACUACUGAAACAAACAUAGCAUAUAUCAUGACAAGGCAGCUCCAAGUGGACCUGGAAGUGCUAGCUUCAACAAUACAGAAAAAAUUCGCAAAAGGCGUUGUAACUAGUCGCCAUGUCACAAAAAUGCAAGUAAGUAACCAUCGAUUUAUCACAUUAGCUUAAUUGUCAUCAAAAUUAUUUUUUGUUUCGAUAUCUUAGUCAAUGUAAUCAAUCUUUCGAGCUAUAUAUUAAGAUGGCUAUAUUUACUGAAAGGCAAAGUGGAUAAGAAUGUUGAUGUAUAAACACUUUUGCAGAUUACUUGGGCAUUAAGAAGAUUGAUUAACAAUCUGAUCAUCUUGCCCAAUGCAGCAAGUGGGUACCUUGGAAACUCGCGACGCCAUUAGCGUUAACAUGUACACUAGGGGUUGAAUUCAAAUUUCUGUACUCUGGCAGAAAUUGAUUUGUUUCUGUCUGAUUUUGCAACUAAUGCAAACUAGUAGUCCAGAAACAGAAACGUUGCUAAGGAAACAACACUUUUUGCUCAACAACUUUGGUUUGAUUAGAACAGAAAUAAGCAUUGAGACUAUUUUUCCGGAGAUCAUUGGAAAGGUUGUUGUAAAACUUAGAACUAACAGACUUCUGUUGAAAUAAGGAUGAAUCACACAGAUAACAAACCCGAGAGUAUGAUUGGAAACUAGAAGUCUGACUUGAUCUUGUGACACCAGCAGUUUAAAUCAAGAUGAAGAUAACCCUUCGUGAACAAAUCAGCAAUUUGAUCUUGUGAACAAAUAAAAUUCACUAGUAGCUCACCUCUAAUCACCUUCUCCCUGACAUAAUGAUAAUCAACUUCUAAGUGCUUGGUUCUUGAGUGGAAAACUGGAUUGGAUGCUGAGGCAAUGGAAGACAAAUGAUCACACCAAAUCUGUUAUCUUAGAAGAUUCUAAUGUACGUCCCUAAAACACGAACAUAACCAAGGCAACUCAGCGGCAGUGUAUGCAAGCUGCCUAUAUUCAGCUUCAGUGCAAGACCUGGAAACUGUUGGACUUUCCUGUUAUGCAGUGAUGUAUUUAGAAAUGUGCAUAAGAAGAAGAAGUUUUUAGAGAGAAAAUGAAAAGACAGAGAGAGUUCUCAAAAAUCUCAGAGAGAGCCAAAGAAUGCUCUGCUGCAUAUAUUCCUUCUUUCCUCAACAUUUACAUGACUACUAGGGAGAGAGAAGCUACGUGAGCCUAUGAGCUCAUCAUACCAUUCAUUACAAGACCCUAUGAGAUCUUGACACAUGUUUACAUCCAAGCCUAGCACAAUAUCAUCUAAUCUCAGCCCUUGAUCACUAACUGAUUUAUUUACACUUGCUAAAGUAAGGAAAAUACAGUUUAGACCUUAAUCAACUAACACUCCCUUCUAAGGUCUUAACUGAGAUUACCCCAAGCUUAUCCUUCAAAGCACAGAAUCUGUCUUUAGCAAGUGCUUUGGUGAAAAUGUCAGCUAGUUGCUCCUCACUUUUGCAGUAUUGCAGGUCAAUUGUUCCUUCUUGAAUUGCAUCUCUGAUGAAAUGAAACUUCCUCUUGAUAUGUUUAGACCUCUGAUGGAAUACCGGAUUCUUUGACAUUGCAAUUGCUGAUGUGUUAUCACACAUCAAAGGAGUUGGUUCGAUCAAUUCUUCACCAAAAUCAUGCAGCACAAAUCUCAGCCAUGUAGCUUGAGUGGUGGCUUUUGAGGCACUCAUAUACUCGGCUUCAGCAGUUGAGAGUGCAACACUCUGUUGCUUUACAGAAGCCCAAGAAAAUGCACCACUGCCAAAGCUGAAAGCAUACCCUGAUGUGGACUUCAUGUCAUCUUCAUCUCCACUCCAAUAACUGUCACAAAAUCCUAUGAGUAGAGCUGCAUUUCCCUUUUCAUACUUAAUUCCAUAGUCAACAGUUCCUUGCACAUAUCUGAGGAUCCUCCUUGCAGUGCCAAGAUGUUUGAUGGAAGGACAGUGCAUGUACCUGGCAAGUACACAUGCUGAGUACAAGAUAUCAGGCCUUGUUGCAGUUAAGUAUAGAAGGCUGCCAACAAUUUUCCUAUACAAUUCUUCAUCUGCAGCUUCACUCCCAUCACCUUUCCUUAGCUUAUCCGUGGGAGGUAAAGGUAUUGAGACAGACUUGCAGCUCUUCAAACCAAACUUGUCCAGUAAACUCAGUGCAUACUUUUUCUGGUGAAUAAAGAUACUCCCUUCUUGUUGGAUUACUCCAAUUCCAAGAAAAUGAUGUAACAAGCCUAAGUCAGACAUCUCAUACUUGUUCAUCAUAUCACAUUUGAAAUCUUCAAUCAUUUCUAAACAGCUUCCAGUAUAAACUAUGUCAUCCACAUAUAUAGAGACAAUCAGAGUUCCCUGUCCAUCCACAUGUUUCACAUAUAAGGUGGCCUCACUUGGACUUUUUUUAAAUCCACUCUGCAGCAAAUGAGUAUCAAUAUUGCUGUACCAAGCUCUGGGAGCUUGUUUUAGACCGUACAGGGCCUUUUUUAACUUAUAUACUCUGUGUUCUUCUCCCUUGACAAUAUAUCCAUCUGGCUGAUCUGUAUACACUUCCUCUUCAAGGAUCCCAUUCAGGAAAGCAGACUUUACAUCUAACUGGUACAGUUUCCACCCUUUCUGUGCUGCCAAAGCAAUGAGUGUUCUUAUAGUAUCCAAUCUAGCCACAGGUGCAAACGUCUCAUUAAAAUCAAUUCCGGGCUUUUGAGUGUAUCCUUUGGCAACUAAUCUUGCCUUGUGUUUUUGUACAGUGCCAUCCAAAUUCAAUUUGGUUUUGAAGAUCCAUUUUACCCCAACAAUUGGUUUGUCACUUGGUCUAUCAACCAAUCUCCAAGUGUCAUUCUUCUCAAUCAUAGUAAUCUCCUCAUCCAUUGCUUUCUUCCAAGCUUCAUCUUGAGAAGCUUCAAUGUAAUUCUCAGGUUCAAUGACACUGAGUCUACACUGAGCAAACACUUCAUUCAGAUCUCUCCACUUCUUUGGUGUGUUGUCAUAGGUUUCUGUGAGUGGAAUUUCACUCUCCAUAUUCACAGUGUUAGGAGCAUCAUUGUGUACACUGGAAACAUACUCACUUCUUGUAUUUGGGCAAGAUAAACCAGAGGAACUAAUAUUAGUUUCUUCACACACGCCAUUUUCUAUCUCAGUUAUGCUUAUACCCUCAUUAGCUUCUGAGAAAGGUACCGAGAAAUGCACAGUUUCCAUAUUCUCCCAAUUAAGAGCAGCAUCUUCAUCAAAAAUAACACUCCUUGAGACAAUGAUGUUGUUGUGUUUCAGAUCAUACACCCUGUAACCCUUUUCUCUUGUCCCAUAUCCAACAAAUACACAUUUCUGUCCAGUUUUUGUCUUAACUGGGUUGGCACAUGAGUGUAGCAAACAGAACCAAAGAUUCUCAAGUGUUUUACCCCUGGUUUUCUACCACAGAAUUCUUCAAAAGGAGUCUUGUUCUCUAGUGCUUUGGUAGGACACCUGUUAAGCAAGUAGACAGCAGUGUGAACUGCUUCACCCCAGAACUUGAGUGGUAAUUUUUUUUCAUAGAGCAUGGUUCUUGCCAUCUCAACUAUGGUACGAUUCUUCCUUUCAGCAAUACCAUUUUGCUGGGGAGAAUAAGCAACAGUGAGUUGCUUUUCAAUACCAACAUCUUCACAAAAUCUUUCAAAUUCUAGAGAUGUGUACUCUCCUCAUCUGUCACUUCUGAUUUUCUUCAGUUUGUAACCAGUUUGUAAUUCAGUCAUGGCCUUGAACAUUUUAAAAAUUCUGAAUACCUUAGAUUUGCACUUCAGAAAAUAGACCCAACACAUUCUGGACUUGUCAUCUAUGAAGGUGAGAAAAUACCUGCUACCUCCAAGUGUUUCACUCAUGGGUCCACACACAUCUGUGUGUACAAGUUCUAAUGGCAACUUUGCUCUCCAUUUCUGUUCUUUGCUAAAAGCCUCUCUGUGAGCCUUUCCAGUAGCACACCCUUCACAUACCUGAUUGUACUCCUUUAGAUAUGGCAGACCAUACACCAUACUCCUUUCUUGUAACAUUCUCAGGCUGUCAUAGUUUAGGUGCCCAAAUCUUCUGUGCCAUUUCCAUGUGUUACCUUCAGUGGUAGCAAUAUUUGCUACAAUAUGAUCCACAUGAUUAAACAUUAGUGGAAAGCAUCUAUUUCCCUUCAUUUUCACAGUGGCUAUAUGAUCUUGCAAUUCACGAUCUCCAAAUAUGCAGGCCAUGAAAUUACCAAACAACAACCAAUAGCCAUGUUCAACCAUUUGUCCUACACUGAGAAGAUUUUCAUCCAAACCAGGUACAAUCAUUACUUCUGGUAUGAACCGAGUGCCUCUUUUGGUCUCCACAAUCAGUGUGCCUUUGCCAACUGAGUCAACCAAUUCCCCUGUGCCCAUUUUCACCUUACACCUUAUACUUCUGUCAAUAUUGAUCAUCAAUGAUUCAGUACUGGUCAUGUGGUUACUGCAACCACUGUCCAAAUACCAAACACCAUUGUUUUCUUGCACAGAGGCCUUAUGACAGGCAUAGAACAUCAUUGCAUUAUCUUGAACAUGAUUCAAAUAAUUUGCAGUAUGAUUUUUCUUUGGUUGGUGACAAUCUCUCACUACAUGUCCAAAUCUGUUGCAGUUAUGACACUUAGGUUUUCCUUUGAACCAACACUCUCCAUGAUGAGCCUUAUCACAGAUCUUGCACUUUUGUUUAACACCCUCAGUGAUCUCGCCCUGUCUUUCAGGCUGUCGAGUGUUGUUUUCCCACUUCCUAGACAUAGACUUCCAAUUCUUCUUUCCCUUACUGUGAUUUCCCUGUGUGAGUGGCCUAUUCUGUGCUUUAGGUACAAGACCCAUAGUGGAGAAAGCAUGCUCCGUGCUUGUAAUUUCAUCAACAUGUCUACUCAAUCUAAGCUCAUAACUCUUAAGAGAUCCUACCACUUCUUGCACAGUCACAGUAUUCAAAUAAGAAGUUCUUUCAAUCACAACACAGAUUGGAUCAUAUUUACUGGACAAACUAAUCAAAACCUUUUGAACUUCUCUUUGAUGAGUGAGGUUCUCACCAUAAGAUUUCAUUUGAUUAAUUAAUUCAAAUAGUCUAGUAAGAUAGACAGAUAGAGAUUCAUUCUCCUUCAUUCUCAUAUACUCAAAUUCACGACGUAAACUUUGAAGUUUAACAGAUCUUGCCUGUUCAUCGCCGCGAAACUCCUCCUGGAGUAGAUCCCAGGCACCCUUUGAGGUCUCUUGAUUCACAAUCCGAGGGAAGAUCUCCUUCGAGACAGCACUUUGAAUAAUGCCCAGUGCCUUAGCAUCUUUCAUGAGCUGAUCUUCCAUGUGUGCGUCCAACUCGUCAUCAUCUCCUUCAUCAUCAUCCGAUGAGGAUGAAUCUUCCUCGUCUUUCUCCUUCUUUGUUUUCUUCUUUUCUCCUUUCUUCUUCGAAUCUGGAAUAACAAUCCCUUUGUCAACCAAUUUCCAUAUCCCAUACGAUUUGAAAAUGGUGACCAUUCUCACUUUCCAGAACUCGAACUCCGUUCCAUCAAAAACGGGAGCUCGUAAAUCACCGCUUCCAGAUCCAGCCAUUUAGCUUGAAUCGGAAUGAAAUGGAGAGAUUUCACGUUGGAUUCUCUCACACAAUUUCACAGAAUUCAACGCCCAGUCCGAAAUCGAACCUAGGCUCUGGAUACCAUGUUGGACUUUCCUGUUAUGUAGUGAUGUAUUUAGAAAUGUGCAUAAGAAGAAGAAGUUUUUAGAGAGAAAAUGAAAAGACAGAGAGAGUUCUCAAAAAUCUCAGAGAGAGCCAAAGAAUGCUCUGCUGCAUAUAUUCCUUCUUUCCUCAACAUUUACAUGACUACUAGGGAGAGAGAAGCUACAUAGCCUAUGAGCUCAUCAUACCAUUCAUUACAAGACCCUAUGAGAUCUUGACACAUGUUUACAUCCAAGCCUAGCACAAUAUCAUCUAAUCUCAGCCCUUGAUCACUAACUGAUUUAUUUACACUUGCUAAAGUAAGGAAAAUACAGUUUAGACCUUAAUCAACUAACAGAAACUGUUUUCUGUUUCUUCGAACUCCACGAUAUUAAGUUUUUACCCAAGUAUAUACAGAAGCCUCCAGUCAAUUGUACACCUCGAGGUCUAUAAACAAGACCCUGAUCAUAGGUAGCCUUCAAAUAACGUAGGAUCCUCUUUAACUGCCCUCCAAUGAGUGUUGUUGGAUGAAUGCAUGAACUGACACACUUGGUUCACAACAUAAGAAUCAGGUCUCGUAAUUGUCAUAUAAUGUAGGGCGCCUACAACACUUCGGUAUAAUUCAGGGUUACUAUAUGAUUCACCCCCAAAAGCACUCAGUUUCUGUCCAGAAGAAACUGGAGUCGAGAAUGGCUUGGCAUUGAUAAAUUUAGUACAUUCCAGCAAGUCCAGGGCAUACCUGGACUCUGUGAGAUGCAUUUGAUCACCCGAGCAGGUUACUUCAACACCUAGGAAGUAGUUGAGACGACCCAAGUCCUUCAUGGAAAAUAAAGUGCCCAAUCUCUUUGUCAACUGAGCCAUUUGAUAAGUAUUGUUUCCUGUGAGCGAUUUAUUAUCCACAUAGAUUAGUAAGAUGAGAUAUACUCCUCUUUGAUUAAACACAAACAAAAUUUAAUCACACUUGGAUUCUUGAAAUCCCAAUUGAAGCAAGAAAUCAGAAAAUCUCCCCCCUCCCCCUAAUAAUAGUAAAUUCGAAAAUAAAAUUAAAAAAGAUGGUCAGAGGAGGAGAUGGAUGCUUAUGUCUCACGGAAAGGAAUUCUUUCUUCCACCCUAUUAAGAUUUACAAUUAAUUUGGCACGAUAUCAAUUUUAUUUUUUCAGAAGACACAAGCAUUCAUGAAAUGAUGGUUUCUUCUAAGUUCUGAAGCACUCUGGGGGAUCAAACUGAAUGCAACACAUCUUUAAAUUUCCUAUAGUCCACUAAAAUCACACAUCACAAUCAACAACAACAACAACCAAGCCUUAUCCCACUAAGUAGGGUUGGCUGUAUGCAUCCUAGAACACCAUUAAGUGGGGUGAAUCCUAUAACAACAACCAAGCCUUUACACAUCACAAUCAAAGCGUAAAAAAUUCACAAAUGACUAGCAAACAGAGGAAAACUUCCAGGAGUAGUCUGAAAAUAGUUUUCUUCUUUUCCGUUAACAAGUCCGAACAUACUUUUAUUUGCAAAGCGGAUAUGUCAAAACAGGAACAAUAGAUGAAAAUAAGGGCAAUGAGGGAAAACAUUCAACACAGGAAACGACCAAAAUCUAAGAAUGAAGUAACUUAAAAUUGCCAUAAAUUACAAAGAAAAGUAGGGUAUAAACUAAAGAGCUACAUUAGAGAUGUUAUAUAAAUUUUGGAUGGAUCAGGCAUUCUCUAUAUCCUUAAAUACUUCUCAGGUGUUCUGCUGCUUGCUUUUAUAUUGCCAUUCACAAUAUGGAAAGCAAGGACUUAAAUCACGUGUCCUGUUGUGCAAAAAUUAAGGCAAGGCAAGCUAUGGAUUGACAAUUCGUGGUUUUAUAUUGCCACUCAAAAUAUGAACAGCCAGUACCAUGCAAAGUUCUGUCCCCACCCCCCCUAAGUUCCAUUGGACCUAUGGCUACACCAAGGGCGUAACCGUAUCCUCAUAUACAUGAUAAACUUGGCUAAAGAAUAUCGUUUUAUAUUUAAGGUACCGUUUGGUACGUGGGACGGGACGGAAUGGAGUGGGACGAGGUGUUCUGUCCCACGUUUGGUACGCCUAAAACCAGUGGAACGCGUUGUUCCAUGUGACGAAUUUUGGAUGAAUUUUCAUUCCGCCUCACCCCCUGGAACGACUCGUUCCACAUCCGUGGAACACAAAAUUAUAAACUCUUCGUCUCCUUCUUCUUCCUUGUUUCCAUCCGAGGGCAUCUUUGCUCCCUCUCCGUUCCGUCCCGUCCCGUUCCAUCCCAUUCUGUUUCGUCCCAUCCCGUCUGCAUACCAAACGAUACCUAAAGGUUGCAAACACUCGCCCUAACUGAUGCCUGACCUCAUUAGCAGUAGGCCAUUUGUUACCACUAAUCUCCAAGGUCAAUUCAAGACAGCCACCAUUUUUGUAGUUCCAAUCUUGCAUGCCUCCAUAUAUAGGGUACCUACAACAGGUGUCUUAAGAAACAAUAGAUGAAUAUCAAACAGAAGAAAAAUAUACCUGUAAUAAUUUGUAAUGUUUCAAGCCAUCAUACCAGAAAGCUUGAUUCGUAAUCUCUCCCUCAAAUUCCUUGCGCAAUGACAUAUUGUAGUGAGAGCAACUAUAUACACUUGCUAAGAACCGGAAUGUCUUGUUGUUUGGACAUGCAAAAUAAUCUUUCCUGUAAUUUAAUUUAGAUCAAAAGACGAGCAUAUGUGCAAAAUAAAAAUUAAUAAGCAUUGGCAUAAAUUCUGGGAUAGUGUUAUUAUGAACUUACACAUAUUGUUAGGCACCAUCCGAAAAUCCAUAAUCAAAUUAGAAGUAAUCGGCAAUGUUCAUAACAUUACGGUAACACUGUAAGACCUACUAUUUACAUCACCAUGCUUGUUUCACACUACAAAAGAAACAUUUAAAACCUGAACACAUUGGGCAUCAUAGGUAAAAUUGAAUAAUGAUCAAAACCUACACUCUCACUGACGUCAACGUACAAAAUUGAAGAAGAGUAAUGGAAAUGAAUGAUGACAAUUAUUCAGGACAAAUGUUCAACAAACAAAUCGGUUUGCUUUUUCCAUUGCUGUCAAAGAUGUUCCAAGAGAGCUAAAGGUUGACAGGUUUUUCCAUUAAGAGGACAAGGUUUCCAGCUUAUAAAAGGCAAAAGAAAAACAAAGAACGAGAAAUAUAUAUACAACAGCAUAUCAAAAAGGUAAGACCGCAGUAUCAAGUUAUCAAUCAGCAUUGGUCCGUGAAGAGCUUUUAUGGAUGUAAAUUGAUUACCUUUUAUCCUGCGUGCCAUCCCAUGAUAAUUUGCAACAAGGGCAACCUGUGAACAACAAAAGAAUUGGUAAUGACUAAGGUGCAGUUUAAGAUUGAGGUAAUUAAAAAAAGUUGGUAUAAAAAAAGUUGGAAGUUUUUUUGUCUUUGGUAAACAUUCAACUUCAGUUUUUUUUUUACAGUUUUGGGUGAAAAAAAACAGAAAACAAGAAGCUGCAAAACCCAGCUUUGAAAAGUCGGUUUUUUUUUCACAUUUAUUUAACAUAAAAGUUUACCAAACACUAUAAUACUGUUUUUUUUUUUCAAAAGCAUUUUUACAAAAAAGUUUACCAAACACUUUACAGCUUUAUUUCACAGCUGCUUAUUCUCACGCACAGCAAAAAUAAUUUUUUUUCAAUGCACAUCAAUACCAAAUCAGUACUAAGUUUGAAAUGUACGCGACAAAGCCGUCACUGGGACCCAGCACUGCAGCUUUGUCCUACAGUCUUGUCGGCCACUAAUCAUGAGUCUAACAACUCUUUCGGCCAUCCAACAGCUAUAACCAAUGGGUUGUUGAUUAAUCCAACCAUCUAGAUUUAAAAAAUAUUUAUAAUUACAUUAAAUUCAAUAGAUGUAAUUGAAUAUGAGUAUAUACAACAGUAAAAAAUAAAAAAUAAUAAUUCUGAUGGCCUAAUUUUAAAUUUAACUGUUAAAACAAUUAAAAAAUAUUUAACUCAAAUUUCACCUUAAAACUUUAUAAUUAUAUAUGUAUAUGGUCAAACAUCCAAACACAUACCACUUUCCUCAUACAUUUUUUUCGGUUUUUUUUUAUCUUUCUACCCACUUCCCAAAAGUACUUCAUCCUAUUUCUAAAUUUUUCAAAUUGCCAAAAGAUCAUGUGAGAGGACCUGAUUGGUCAAGUGAUGAAAAUAUUGCUUGUUAUUUGGUAUGAAUUUUUAUUAGCAAAGAUGAUGCUAUAAGUACAAACAAAAAUGCUAAGGAGUUGCGGGCUCGUAUUGUUAAAAUUUUAAUUCCACCUCCAACACCAAACAACCCUAUAAAGGUGUUUACGGUCGGUAGAAGAUUAUCAAUAGAGCAUACACCUUUUUAGAAUUUAAAUAUUUUUAGGUAAAAAUGUUCAUAAAAAUAAAUUAGAAUAAUCGACAUAAAUCUUAUUUUUUUAAAAGUUAACGAAAAAAAAUUAGACUAGAAUUAUUCUUUAAUUAUGUGUGGCUUAAAUUUUAAGCCAUAAUCAAUGGAAGAAAAACAAUUGUUUCUAGGUUAUGGCUUUAAAAUUUGUGGCUUAAUUUUUUAAGGUUUAACCAAAGAAAAGGGUUGUGCAUGGUCUUAGGCUUGUUCGGUCUAAUUAAUAUUAGCGUCGCGCACCCAACUCCCAAUUCUAUCAUCUAAUUCGGCUUCUUUGUGUUGUGUGGAGCUUUGGCCAGCCUUAUUUUCACAAGCAUAUAUCACACCUACAAAGUAGAAAUUUGGGAAAGGCUUUCAAGUGAAUCAAAUCUUUAUUUACGCAAAAUAGCUCAGUUCUUACGGGAUUUCAUUAAGCUGAUUUUUUAGUAGCAGGAUGGCAUCUAAUGAACUAUGUCUUCCCUGAUCAAUCUCGCAUCUCAGCAGAGCUUGAGAGGCACAUCCGCGAAAUUCAUACCAUUGUCGGAAAUGCGGUCACUGAAGGGAGAUACAUUGUUUUUGGUGCUGGCUCAACCCAACUUCUCAAUGCUGCUGUUUGGGUUAAAACUUAAACUUUGGGCUCCAAAGGAAGUUGGCCCAACAAAGAAGAGAAAAGCCCGGAGACCAGCCCAAGUCCAGAAGGCAGAAAUGGUCUUUCCCGACUAGGUGCAGAUCAUUUGCACCACUUGCUCACCUACCCAAGGGCCAAGUGGUAUAGACCUGCCAGCUAAUCAGCCCAAAAGUAUUUUAUAGUGGCAAUACAAGUAAAAUAGCUGAUGAGUCACUAUCCUUCAAACCACAUUCGGGCAAGGUUGUCGCUACAGGAGGCUAAGUCAAAAUGUCUAUAAAAGAGGAGAGAGGAAUCAAAGCUCAGGACACUCAAACAACCAAACAAAUACAAGCACAAACUCUGCUCAAAACCAUAUUUGCCUUCAAAACGAAUCUGUAGUCAGCCCAAACCUUCAUCCUUCUCCGGAUAAACCUUUGUAAUAGCUCUGCUACCUGGUCAAGAACCCGUCGUAGUAUCGAUUUCUUUUGUAAACUCAUCUCCCUACCCCUUUUCUAAAAUGCUCUCAACCCCCUUGAUAAACCACAAAGAUAGGAAGUUGCAAGCCGAUCAGCCUUGCCCGACAAGGUUAAACCUUGCCCGACCCUCUUUGUUUUUGUCUUUUCAUUCAUUAGCCUAGCAAUAUGUUGUAUACUACAAAUUGUAUUCAAGUUAUUUAUAGUAAUAUGGCUAUUAAAAGUUUCUAUCAGCACUUGAAUCCGGUUUGAAUAUAUCUUCACAGUUCAAACCAGAUCUAAGUUCUAAACCCUCGGGCAUGUAAGAUUUGAUCAUCCAAAAGUCCUUGGCCUCAAGGCAUAAAAAAAGACCUUAUGUGGACUUAACCCAUCCACGACAAGCUUUGAUAAACAAGAAGUUCGAAGUUACUUGGGGCGCAAGUAAUCGAUCUAUCACCUAGUUUUAUUUCUAUUAUAUUAUGAUUAUCAUAGAACGUUGAGUAUAGAAUGAAUCCUGAUGGGAAGCUUCAAGGCCUACACCUAAGGCCCCACAAAGGCACCUAUUUGGAUUCAUUCUGUCAUUCGGGCUAGAACGAUGAGUAUGGAAGGAAUUCUGAUGGAAAGCCUCAAGGCCUAUCUAAGGCACCACAAAGGCACCUAUUUGGAUUUAUUCUGUCCUUCGGGUUCGGGUAAUCAGAAGUAUAAUGGUUAUAAGAUUUAUAUAACCAAUGAAACGAAUUAUAUGUAUAUAUUCAAAUAUUAAGUUAGUUAUUAACAGGAAGCCUCAAGGCCUACACCUAAGGCCCUACAAAGGCACCUGUUAUAACUAAAAUAGUCUCUUGAGUAUAUACAAUUAAAAUUCAACAUCCGUUUUACAUCUGCCAUGCUGAAGAUGGCAGUGGCACGCCUGAGCACUCAAAAGUUAAUCUUGAUUGUGAGCCUCAAGGCCUACACCUAAGGCCUCACAAAGGCACAUUUCAAAGUUAAUUCUGUCCUUCUCUUUCAGCCUUACCCGACAAGCCUUGCCCGACAGGCCUUGCCCGACAAGCCCGCCAGUAAAGCAGAAGCCUGAUAGAAAGUAUCAACCAGCGCCAACCUCUCGGGGAGCUGUGUGCUCGUCGGCCAGGAAACAUCCCCGACAGAAAUUCUUGCCACGAACAGCUGCAGUUAACGCACUGUCGACUUCCAAUAACUUCAACUCUUCACCUUCAAGUGUUGUAGCUUCAAUUCCUUAUUACAGUGUAAGAUCCGACUUCUGACUUUACAGCAAUGACUAAAACUAUUUAAUAUUGAUAUACAUGAUUUCGAUGUGAAUUUUCACAGCUUUACCAAAUGCAAACGGAGUUUUUCCGAUCAAUGGACUAUAUGUUUCAAGGAGAUGCUGCCUUGCUGCAGAAUACUUCGGAUGCUACUAAAAAUGUUGUUGAGUUUGUAACCUCACCAAACAAUCCAGAUGGGCAGCUGAAGAAGGCAAUUUUUCAAGGCCCGAAUGCUAAGGCAAUCUAUGAUCGUGUAUACUACUGGCCACAUUUUACAGCAAUUCCUGCUCCAGCAGAUGACGAUCUCAUGAUAUUUACAAUUUCUAAACUCACUGGCCAUGCCGGUACUAGAUUCGGGUACUUAACAUACUAACCAACAUUUUCUUCCACAUUCUCCCCACCCUUAAUGUAAAUAUAUCGUUGUAUAAAACAAAAACAUAUUCUUCCACAUCCAUUGAAUUUUAUAGGGAGAUAUUCUGCUUGAAUUUUAUCACCCUAAACCCUAAGUAAAGCCCCUUUAGGCAAAUCAUAUUAAUGUUUUGCCUUGUGCAGGUGGGCAUUGGUAAAGGAUGAGUCUGUGUACCAAAGGAUCACCCAGCAUAUACUCAUGAGUAGCUUAGGUAUUUCUCGAGAUGCUCAGCUAAGAGCUUUGAAGCUUCUAAAUGUCGUCCUUGAAACCGGAGGCAGGGAAAUCUUUAGUUCGGAUACCACACUUUGAAGAAACGCUGGUAAAAUUUGACAAACAUCCUGUCUCUGUCAAACCGCUUUACUCUUCAAAAGUUUGAACCCAAAUACUGCAACUUCUUCAAGAAUAUUAGAGAGCCUUCACCAGGUAAUGUACUAUAACUCAUCCUGUGAUUUUCGAAACAUGCUAGAGUACGUGUGUGUAGGUUACUUAAUUUAAGAAUUCCUGUAUAAACAUAGGACGUUGCACCUUUCAAAGUUAAUGAGAGUUUAAUGUUCAUGAUGACAUAUUUUAUUGUAAACACCGUACAGAAGUGCGCAAGUGUCUGCGUGUAAUGAUUUAUCAAUUUGGUGACAGAAAAAGUGAAAAUUAUGUUUUGACGAUCAAAUGAAUUUGCAGCCUAUGCAUGGGUGAAGUGCGAGAGGGAAGAGGAUAAAGAUUGCUAUGAAGUUCUGAAACAAGAAGCGAAUGUUAAUGGUCGUCCAGGUGCUGAAUUUGGAGCUGAAGAUCGAUAUGUUCGUCUCACCCUCUUAAGGACCCAAGAUGAUUUUGAUUUAUUGCUUCAGCGACUCAACCAAUUGGUCCUGGAUGAAAGUAAGAGCAAAAUAAUUAUUUCUUCUCAAGUAGGGGGUCAAUACGUGACAUAAUCUGCUACAGAGAAACAUUGCAGAAAUUUAGUAGAGCACUACUCGUGCUCCCUUAUGUACGUUUGUAGAAAUAUAGGAGAGCACUACUUGUGCUCCCUUUUGUACGUCUAUAUGUAGCGGUCACCAUUUAGUCUCGUAAGAAAAACAAAGCCAACAAACCAUAUGUAAACCAAUUGAUCGCAAAAUAACUACCUCACAAUCUUUGUGAGCAUUUUUUUUUUCCUGCAACUCUCUUAAACAGAAUUCCUCAGUUCUGUCAACAUUUUAGUGCCCUGAACAUGCCACGAAAUUAAUCAAAGUAUAUAAUGAGAUCAGUACACAACCUUUGUCACUUUGAAGUUCUACAAACAUAUGGUGCAUAUUUACCGUGUAACGCAAAUGGCAAGCUCCAUAAUGUAAAUUUUCCUUGUGCCUUUCGUCUGUGUUUUAAUGUGCGCAAAAUAAGGUAAAUAACAUAUACAUGCUCCAUUUUCUUCAAGGACAGUAGUUGUGAUGACAUUAACAUGAAGCACUAGUACACUAGCCAAGGAGAGGAAAGCGAACUUACCUGACUGACCAAAAUCAGGCUCAGUAGCAUACAUGAUCGCCAACCAGGAUUCAGAAGGAUUCGUGUCAUCGACAUGAUUGUGGUGAAAUGGCCUCAGCAUCCGAGUCAAGCUCCCACCAUCUGCCAGUAUCAUCCUUCGCAAAUUUUCAUUCACAUGCACGCACGCGCGCAAAAACACACCAACAAAAACUUUGAUUUCCUCGUCCUCACUCGCAGCAUCAACCUCACCAUUCCAGUUAUGCAAACUUUGUUCUUCCUCUGGCUUGUAUGUCCAGUCCAAUAUCUUCAACACGUGAUGGUCUUUCCAUUUCCCCACAACCGAAAUCAGCCUCCUUCUUAACCUUUCUACUCAACAUUUCAUUCCAAUAAAAGCUAGAAUCCACCACAACAACCAUCUUCAAACAUACAUCUCAACUUUGCCUCCAUCACAACAUCCACAAUACCUUAAUUAUCCGACAAAAGCAUCACACACUCAACUCUCCUAUGAUUUCUCAAUGCAACAUCCAUCCCCUGUGGUGUAUCCAACACAUCUAAAACCCCUGCCGCCUCACCUUGUCUGCUAAACCACGCCCAAUCUUGGGUGUCAAGACAUCCCUUGAAGCAUUCUUUCACUUGUCCAUCUUCAUUGAAUACUUGCCCACCAAUUUCACCCCCGAACUCCCUCUAGCAGUCUCAAACUGAUUCAACCUUUUCACACGUUCCCUCUCAUGAAUCUGCCUAAAAUCAUUCACAAGCUUUUCAUUAGUAUAAAAUCUCCUCCCACAAACCCGUUGGACUCACCAGCCUUAAUCACAACCCUGUUGCUCUCUUUCGUUUCCCUAACAACUUGUGGAGCAUAAUUCAAUGCAUUCCCUAUCUAGAGGGUAUAAGUUUAGUGUAAUUAAACGAUAUCACACCCAUCUAAAAUUAAACGUUUGAAAUAUUGGAAAUGGUGUCAUGUGAGAAUUUUCGCUCUAAAUCUCAAAUGUUUCACACAGAGAAAGUUAUUUCAAGAAUACUUAAAAUGCUAUUCACUUAUGAUUACUCUUCUCAUGAUCAAAACAACAUGUGAAGCAAGUACCAUGGAAUCAAUCAACAGACCACAAGCUAAAAUAAGUAAACAUUCAGUCCCUGUGGUAAGACCAUCUAAUAACAUAUUGAUAGGCAGCCAUAACAUACCUUGGCUACAGUUGCAACGAGAUUAAGCAUGCUCAUUUUGUUGCAUCCCCAAAGAGUCAGAAGCUGCAUGUUUAUAUGCAUUAAAGACAACACGUCAAACAGCUAAAUGAUAGUAAGUUAAAAUGAAAGGGAAAUAAUCUCCCAGGCCAAUAAAAGUCACUUGUGCCAAUUGAUCAUCCAAUAAAAGCCCUUGAGUCUUAUUAACUAAAUGGAUAUAAAACUACCAAAAAUUCCCAUAUCACAAAUCAACUAGAACGUGUAAACAAGCAAGAAUGCAAAGCUUAUGUUAAUAGGAAGCAAGAAACAGGCAAAAAACAUAUAACUAACAUUGUGCCUCGUGUAUAGGUGAGGAACAAGAAACUUAACAUGAUAUUAGAAUAAUAUCAAGACUGGUAGCAUGGACAGAGAGAAAAUAAUUAGACAUGUUAGGAUACCGAGUAACCCAAAGUUAACCAACUUGAAGCAAGGACAGAGAAAAUAAUCAGCCAUGUUAGGAUACCGACUUGAAGCAAGGACCAAGAAACUUAACAUGAUAUUUGAGGAAGAGGGUUUCUGCUGAUGUAUAUACUUGAUUUAUUUGCAUUCUGUUUUUAAUGGAGCACGAACAAGGUUAACUAAACUAACACUUCUAACCCUAUGGAAACUUUUAUCUUUUCAGUUCUCGACUAGGAACAGCCAGCACCAUGCAAAGUUCCGUCCCCACCCCCCUAAGGUCCAUUAGACCUAUGGCUACACCAAGGGCGUAACCGUAUCCCAUAUACAAGAUAAACUUGGCUAAAGAAAAUAGUAUUUUAUAUCAAGGUUGCAAACACUCGCCUAACUGAUGCCUGACCUCAUUAGCAGCAGGCCAUUUAUUAUCACUAAUCUCCAAGGUCAAUUCAAAACAGCCACCAUUAUGUAGUUACAGUCUUGCAUGCCUCCAUAUAUAGGGUACCUACAACAGGUAUCUUAAGAAACAAUAGAUGAAUAUCAAACCAAAGAAAAUAUACCUAUAAUAAGUCGUAAUGUUUCAAGCCAUCAUACCAGAAAGCUCCAUUUGUAAUGCCUCCCUCAAUUUCCUUGCUCAAUGACAUAUUGUAGUGAGAGCGACUUUAUACGCUUGCUAAGAACCGGAAUGUCUCGUCAUCCGGACAUGCAAAAUAAUCUUUCCUGUACUUUAAUUUAGAUCAAAAGCCAAGUAUGUGCAAAAUAAAAAUUUAUAAGCAUUAGAAUAUAAAUUCUGGGAUAGUGUUAUUUUGACCUUACACAUAUUGUUAGGCACCAUACGAAAAUCCAUAAUCAUAUUAGGAGUAAUCGGCACUGUUCAUAACAUUACAGUAACACUUUCAGACCUACUAUUGACAUCACCAUGCUUGUUUCACACUAUAAAAGAAACAUUUAAAAACCUGAACACAUUGAGCAUCAUAGGUAAAAUUGAAUAAUGAUCAAAACCUACACUCACACUGAGGCCAACGUACAGCAGGAAGAAGUCUAAUGGAAAUGAAUGAAGACAAUUAUUCUGGACAAAUGUUCAACAAACUAAUCGUUUGCUUUUUCCUUUGCUGUCAAAGAUGUUCCAAGAGAGCUAAAGGUUGACAGGUUUUUCCAUUAAGCGCACAAGAUUUCUAGCUUAUAAAAGGCAAAAGAAAAACGAAGAACGAGAAAUAUAUACAACAGCAUAGUUCAGUGCAGAACUUUUAUGGAUGUAAAUUGAUUAUCUUUUAUCCUGAGUGCCAUCCCAUGGAUAAUUUGCAACAAGGGCAACCUGUGAACAACAAAAGAAUUGGUAAUGACUAAUUUCUCCACAUCUGAAUCAAGGAAUCCAUUAGCUAAGAUAGAGAACCACCUGUUAGAAUUUAAAAAAAAAAAAAAAAUUCCUUUGAUUUCUCAGGAACCAAACGGUAGUUAAUUAUGAUCAGAUAGAUUGUCAACUUCCAAAAACAACCAAGAAACUAAAUGAACACAGAUGCAAAUGAACACAUCAUAUAAAAUGAAUACAAAUUAUAUAUGUUCGUGGCAGGAAUUUCCAUUGGGGAUGUUUCCUAGCCGACGAGCACACAGCUCCCCGAGAGGUCGGUGUCGGUUGAUGCUUUCUGCCGGGCUUCUGCUUUACUGGCGGGCUUGUCGGGCAAGGCUGAAAGAGAAGGACAGAGUUAACUUUGAAAGGUGCCUUUGUGGGGCCUUAUGUGUAGGCCUUGAGGCUCACAAUCAAGAUUAACUUUUAAGUGCUCAGGCGUGCCACUGCCAUCUUCAGCAUGACAGAUGUAAAACGGAUGUUUGGGUUUUAAUUAUAUAUAUAUAUAUAUACCCGAGAGACUAUAUUAGUUAUGACAGGUGCCUUUGUAGGGCCUUAGGUGUAGGCCUUGAGGCUUCCCAUUAAUAACUAACUUUAGUACUCGAAUAUAUAAGGUUCAUUUUCUUGGUUAUAUGAGUCUUAUAACUAUUAUACUUCUGAUUACCUGAGCCCGAAGAGCAGAAUGAAUCCAAAUAGGUGCCUUUGUAGGGCCUUAGAUAGGCCUUGAGGUUUCCCAUCAGAACUCCUUUUAUACUCAACGUUCUAGCCCAAGGAACAGAAUGAAUCCAAAUAGGUGCCUUUGUGGGGCCUUAGAUAAAGGCCUUGAGGCUUCCAAUAAGAAUUCAUUCCGUACUCAAACGUUUUAUGGUAAUCAUAAUAUAAUAGAAAUAAAACUAAGUGACUGGUCGAUUACUUGCGCCUCAAGUAACUUCGGACUUCUUGUUUAUCAAAGCUUGUCGUGGAUGGGUUAAGUCCACAUAAGGUUCUUUUUUUAUGCCUUGAGGCCAAGGACUUUUGAGUGAUCAAAUCUUACAUGCCCGGGGGCUUAGAACUUAGAUCCGGCUUGAAUUGUGAAGACAUAUUCAAAUCGGAUUCAAGCGCUGAGAGAGUUUUUUAAUAGCCAUAUUACUAGAAAUAACUUGAAUACAACUUGUAAUAUGCAACAUAUUGCUAGGCUAAUGAAUGAAAAGACAAAAACAAAGAGGGUCGGGCAAGGUUUAACCUUGUCAGACAAGGCUGAUUGUCUUGCAACUUCCUAUCUUUGUGGUUUAUCAGGAGGUUUGAAAGCUUAGAAAAGGGGUUGGGAGAUGAGUUUACAGAAAGAAAUCGAUACUACAGCAAGAGUUGAACAGGGUAGCAGAGCUAUUACAAAGGGUUUAUCCCGAAAGGGAUGAAGGCUUGGGCUGACUACAGCUUCGUUUUGAAGGCAAAUCUAGCUUUGAGUAGAGUUUGUGCUUGUAUUUGUUGGUUUGUUUGAGUGUCCUUAACUCUGAUUUCUCUUUCUUCUUUAAUAGACACUUUGGCUUGGCCUCCUGUAGCAACAAUCUUGCCCGAAUGCAGUUUAAAUGAUAAUGACUAAUCAACUAUUUACUUGUACUGCCACUGUAAAGUACUUUUGGGCUGAUUAGUUGACUGGUCUAUACCACUUGGCCCUUGGGUAGGUGAGCAAGUGGUGCAAAUGAUCUGCACCUAGUCGGGAAAGCCUUUUUCUACCUUCUGGGCUUGGGUUGUGCUUCGGGCUUUUCUCCUUUUUUUGGGCCAACUCCCUUCUGAGCCCAAAGUUUAAGUUUUAACCCAAACAAUGCCCCCUUCAAUCAAUAUUCAGACUGGAAUUCCAGGCGCCAAUAUUGAUUGAAUAUCCGCAUGCUUGUAUACCCGCUCUUGGAACUUGUGUUUUUUAGACAGGAUGCCUACGAUCCUGCGUCUCUUGCUCUUCUCACGACCUUUGGGUUAUCCUCUGAGGUUUCUAUAAAUUCAGGCUUGAAUUUGCUUUUGUUCAGCCAACAAACCUCCUCCAGCCUUCGCUUUUAUUAACCCUGAGUACUUCUGCCUUAUUAGUUUUCUUCCCAAAACUGAGAAAUGAGUUCUUCAGGAUUCAAGUGGGGUUUCCUAAAACUCCCUUUUCGUGAGGAAAAAAAAAAGUUUUCAUCAGAUAACCACUAUCCCCAACACCUUUGGUCAGACACCCCGCUAUCUCCAACACCCUUGGUCAGAUGGUUUCCUUAUGAAGACUUGCCUUCCUGCUCGUUGUCAUGAUAAAUCAGGCUUCACCAUCAUACAUGGUGAUGAAUCUGCCUGAUGAUCCUCUACCAAGCUCAUCUUGCCCGCACAACCUGAUCACCUGAUCGGAUUCUAUCCAUGAAGACAUCAGAAAACCAACUGAGACGCCAUUGCACCUCGAAGAAGGCGAACGUAGCACAUCGGAAUUGAAUUGAAUUUCUUGUAAAUUUCACCAAUUUGUCGAAAUGAAAUAAACAUUAUCUUAACAGUCUUAUGUCUUUCUGUCUUCUUAAAUGACUGAUGAAUAUACACUGCACUUUAGCAUCCUGAAACCUGCUUUACUUUGCAUCCUCUUCAAUAUAACAAUCUCUAACAUCCCAUAAUGUAGGACAAUACUUUUUCAAGAAUUUAACAUUAAUGGGAUGUUUCUGCCAAUUCCCUUCGAGGUCCGCCAAGUAAUAUCCCCCUUUGUCUAACACUCAACUAAUCAUGAAAGGACCUUCCCAUGUCGGGCUCUAUUUUCCAAAGCCCCUAAGCUGAGCUCCUAGAGGAAGGACUGUCUUCCACACCAAAUCUCCUUCCUUGAAAGACUUUGCUUUCACCUUUUUGUUAUAAGCUCGGGCAACAGCUUUCUUUCCUUCCUGAAUCUAGUUCAGGGCUUCAAUUCGGGCUACGUCUAAGUCUUCAAUCCCUUGACACAUGGCUUCGAUAUACUCUUCGCUGUGUAACCCAAACUGAUUUUGAAUUCUGACAGAACUUACAUUGAUCUCCAUGGGAAGCACUGCAUCUUGCCCGAAAGUUAAAGCAUAAGGAGUUGUCCAUGUUCCUGCCCUUUUGGAAGUUUUGUAUGCCCACAAAGUAUUCCCCAGCUUUUCAUGCCACUUUUCUGGACUAUUUAUCACCAUUCUUUUGAUAAUGUUUGCCAAAAUAUUGUUGCUGGAUUCUGCCUGGCCAUUUGAUUGUGGGUAGUAAGGACUGGACUGGAUCAUCUUUAUUUUGUAUCUGCUUGCAAAUUCUUCAACUUCUUUUGAAAUAAAAGAUGGUCCUCGAUCCAUCACUAUGGUUUCGGGCACCCCAAAUUUAUACAGAAUCUUGGUCUCAAUAAAUUUUUUUACUGCAGCUGAGGUUAUGGAUUUUACAGCGAGACCUCUACCUAUUUGGUAAAGUAAUCCGUUGCUACAAUUAUGAAAGUGUGGCCCUUGCUAGAAGCUGGGUAGAUCUGCCCGAUGAAGUCCAUUGCCCAUCCUCUGAAGGGCCAAGGCUUGACUAUUGGAUUUAAAGGUACUGAGGGUACAUGUUGGAGAGGACCGUGCCUUUGACAUUCCUCACACCCUCGGGCAUAGGAAUUGCAAUCUUUUUCCAUGUCGGGCUAGAAAUAACCAUACCUCCUAAGUAACCACCUCAUCUUCGUUUCAGCCUGAUGUGUUCCACAUACUCUUUCAUGUACUUCGGCCAUCACUCUCAUGGAUUCCUCUUGGCCUAAGCAUUUUAAUAAUAACCCGUUUGGAGUUUUCCUUAGCAGGUCUUUUGCCCAUAAGACAUACUUAGUUGCUUGCUGUCUAUUUUUCUUGCUGGUGGGCGAAGAGGGAUCUUUAAAUGAUGGAUGAUGGGUGACCUCCAAUCUUCUAUCUCAGUUUCUAGAACCAUUACAUCCAGACUGAAUCCUCUUUCCAGGAUAGAAGGAAGAUUUCUUCUUUGAAUCUCCACAUCCAACCCAUAUUUUCUUUCCUGUAUUGGCAUGCCUGAGGCUAAUUGCGCAAUCUCGUCGGCUGCUAGGUUGGCUCCUUUGGGAACAUGACUAAUUGAUAUCUCAGAAUCCUAAUAACUCAGCAAAUGCAUGGCCUACCAAGUAAUAUCCGACCAUGGUGAUAUGUCUGCACUUGAACUCCCCAUUCAGCUGGUUUAUUACCAAUUCUGAAUCACCAACACCUCUACCUCUAUUGCCUCCAGAUCUAUCAAGAUUUCCAACCCAAUUAUUAAAGCCUCAUACUCUGCCCGAUUGUUGGUAUUCCCUUGGUAAUCUAAGAGAAAUGAGUAAUAAUGAUAAAUCCCUUGAAGGUUGAUAAUUACAAUCCCAGCUCCUAAAGCCUUUUGAGUAUAGGAACCAUCAAAAUAUAGCUUCCAAAGAGUAAUCCACAAACCAGCCACUCUUCUUAUCUCCUGCUGGAUUCACUCCUCUUUGCCCGAGAUCCAUUUGCCUGGCGGGAUCCAAACAUUAGUAACCUCCAGGGUUCCUGGUAUAUUGAUUAUCUCAUCUUGAGAUUCUUGAUGCUCCGCCAAGAAGUCAGCAAUUGCUUGGCCUUUUACUGCCCUUUAAGGGACAUACUGAAAGCUGAAUUCUGAUAAUGCUAUAAUCCACUUCCCAAUCCUUCCUGUUAACAUUGGCUUUGACAACAUGUACUUUAUCACAUCUGUCUUGGCGAUGAUGUGCACGUGACAAGGUAACAUGUAAUGCCUCAGCUUAUUGGCAGUAAAAUACAGAGCUAAGCACAAUCUUUCUACUGGGGAAUACCUUGUUUCUACCUCGGUCAGGAUUCUACUGAGGUAGUACACUGCCUGCUCUUUCCCGCCUUCAUUAUUUUGAGCUAGCAAACUCCCGAUUGAUUUAUCUGAAGCGGAGAUAUGUAGCUUUAAGGGGUUUCCCCUUUGAGGUGGUACCAAUACUGGCGGAGAAGUCAAAUAAGCUUUGAUACUAUCGAAAGCCUCUUGGUGUGGUGGUCCCCACUCGAAAUCUUCUUAUCUUUUAGUCUUAGUAAAGGAGUCAGCGGCUGGAUCUUGCCUGCUAGAUUAGUAAUGAAUCUUCUCAAGAAAUUAAUUUGGCACAGCAGCCUCUGGAGUUGCACUUUGUUGGUGGGUGAAGGCGACUCCAAUAUUGCCCGCGCUUUGUUUUUGUCCACUUCUACACCUCUUUGAUGAACCAGGAAUCCCAAUAAGUUGCAUGCUCUCACUCCAAACGUACACUUCUUUGGAUUCAUCUUCAAUUUGUGGAUCCUCAUUCUUGUCAAUGCCUGCCUGAGGUCUAUCAGAUGCUGCUUUUCUGUCUUGGAUUUCACCAUGAUGUCAUCAAUAUACACCUCCAUAUUAUGGCCAAUCAGAUCAUGAAAGAUGGCAUUCAUUGCCCUUUGGUAGGUUGCACCAACAUUCUUGAGCCCGAAUAGCAUGACCAGAUAUUCAUAUGCCCCCACAUGCCCAGGGCACCUAAAAGCUGUUUUAUGUAUAUCCUCUGGAGCCAUCUUUAUCUGAUUAUACCCGGCAUUUCCAUCCAUAAAAGAUAAGACUUUGUGUUUUGCUACUGCAUCUAUGGAUAAAUCUCCCAUGGGCAUGGGAUACUCAUCUUUCGGUGUAGCGCCAUUAAUAUUUCUGUAAUCAACACAACAUCGUAUUGCUUUUGUUAUGGCUUUUAAAAUGGGUACAAUGUUGGCUAACCACUCCACAUAUUUGGCUGGCCUGAUAAAUCCGGCUUUUACUAGCCUCUCAAUCUCUUAUUUGACCUUCUCUUCUAUCUCCUUCGACAUCCUUCGUGGUGCUUGCUUAACCGGCUUAUAUCUUUCCUUGAUGGGCAUUAUGUGUUCCACCAAGGUUGCAUCUAAACCUGGCAUCUCAAUGUAAUGCCAAGCAAAACAAUCUCUGAAUUCUUGCAAGAGACAGAUAAUUUUUGCCCGAUCCUCACUCUCCAAUAAACCACUGAUUUUUAUUGGUCUUGGAUCCUCUUUUGUUCCUAGCUCAAUAACUUCCAAAGGAUCUUGGACCUCUGGUGGUGGCUUAUCAGGUUCUACACACAAAAAUUCAACUAGCUCCGGGCUCUCGGGUAAGUCGUCUGGCCCAUCUAGGUCAUAUAUGCACUCGGCCAUUUAAAUGGCCCUUUCUAAUUCUUCUCGACAAGAUUCCUCCUUGCUUUCAUCCUGGCUGGUUGAAGCUCCUACCUGCCAUUCCUGCUCUUCUCUGUCUAAGAGCUCAUUUUCUUGUCUUCUUCAUUUCCCAUACAUCAACAGUCGUUUAAUCAGGGAUCUGACUGCCAUUACCUGAUCUUUCCUUUUUUGUUCUGUCAUUGAUGGUGUAGGGGUGUUGGGACGAUACAAGGUCUAUCCCACUCUUUUCUAGUAAGGAACAAUCCUUGUUCUAGAAGCUUUUGGGUCGUCACCUUGGUAGGGCGUACGUUCUCAUCUGCUCCUGAACACUUCAAGAUUCCUACGUUGGGAUUGUAGAAACUUGCUUCCGCUACAUUGGCUGUGGGAAGAAAUGGCCGUGAUUCGGCCUCUACCAUCUCCCAAAAGCCUGGCCCUUAUGCGCUUGCCUCAUGAUAAACAGCCACUUCUUAAUGUAGAGUGGAGGGUAUAGCAAGACUUUGGUGGAUCCAAUCUCUUCCGAGUAAGGCUUCAUAGGUGGAGGUGUAGUCCACCACAAAGAAUGCCAGCAUGAUCUGUUUAGACCCCAAAUCUACUUCUAAAGGCAAUAUCCCAUGAGUCUUAGUGAUAGCGCCCGAGAAACUAGAAACUAUGAGGUCUGUAGGAAUAAGAUCCUAUGUGCCUUUCCCCAACUUUUUCAUCUGCUUAGCCGGCAGUACAUUACCAGCUGCUCUUCCAUCAAUCAAAAUCCUUUUGAAGGGCACCCCCUCCAAAUGAGCUGUCACAUAUAUGGGCUUCAGAUGAUUGGCAAGUGAAAUGUUUGGGCAGCUGAACACCAUCUUGUCUGUAUAGAUCCUUAAAGGACCCUCCUUGGAUGCUUCAGAUGAUUCAGCUUUUCCCGAUUUUCCCUCUUCAGCUAUCUCCACAUUGACGUGAGACAUCAUUGGCUCAAUUGUUACGUAAUCUCCUUCCAUGGUGGCGGGCUGAUUUGGUUGGGCACCAAACAUGGUGAAUAGCACAUACGCCAUGUUUAUAUGAAAGUUGCUAGGCUCCGACAGUUCUUCUUUCUUGCUCCCAAUGUGGUCCAUGAACUCAUCCAACCAAGCCAUCGCAUCUGGUGGAAGCAGUGGUUCUGGUGCCCCCUCUAGUUAAUUCACACCUGAAUAUGGUGUUUGCUUUGGAACUUCCCCGAAGGGAUCCACUAAUGAUAGAGAAGGUUGUUUUUUCUCAGGUGAGACAGUUCCAAAACAAAUAGGCUGCUCUGUCUUCCAUCCGGGAGUUGGCACCAUAACCAUAUCUUCUUGAGCUCUCCUCAAGAUUCUAUAUUUCCCAGGGUGUGGGCUUUGUGGCACAUGGUUUCCUUCGCCUUCAGUCUUGCUAUUAGCCUUUUCCACCUCAUGCUUACUCCUCCAGCGGAGCUGACUACUCCCCCCAGAUGACGUUUUCUCCAACUUUUGAUUUUUGGAUGCUUCUGACGUCGCAGGGGUUUUUAAGGAAUUCAUGUAGGCUUUGUGUUGCCUUUGAACCCUUCUGACCAUGGAGGCUCCCAUUUGCUUAACGGGCUGUCCAUUUUUCCCAACCACAUACCAUUUUUGCCCGAGGCGGGCAGGAUUAUCUUUUUUGACAGGGUUUGUUAUCCUAUCAUUCCUCCUGACCUCUCUUCCCUUAUGGUCGUACUGAGAAUGCUCUACACCCCUCUCUUUUGGCUUCUUAGUAUCUUUAUCCUCUGCCUCCUCAGAAACUUCAUGGUUGCGAAAUAUCUCUGAUAAAGCCCUCGGUUGGGAAUCUCCUCCUAACCGCUGAAAGACACUUCGGGAGGUAUCCCUUCCUGUAGUCCGCCGAGCUUUCUCUUGUGCCUCUUUUCUCUUUUCUUCUUCAUUCCUCCUGAUCAGUUCAUGAUCUAUGAGGGCUCCUGUGGGUGGUAUUUCGAGCUCACACUCACAUUGGCACUUACUGCACAACACCAUCCCUUUGAUUAUGGCGGCUCUUGAAUAUUCGAGCAAGUAAACCACCCCUUUUAUGGGUUUGUCAACCAGUUUUCUUUCUUCUUCCCUUGUGACCUUCUCUUUCCCCUUCUCCGCCCAGGCCAUACUGAUCAUAUUUAUAGGGGCCUCUGAGAAGGGAUCCGUAUGUUUAUUCGUCACCGCUGCUUCUUCUGGUUGGUUGAUUUUAAAUCCCCUUUUCUCCAUAUCAUAUUUCUCCCCAAUGUGAGGUAAAGAUAUAGGAAUAGGUGGUCUUAGAACCGGGCCAUCUUCCUUUCUGGACCCUGCGGACGAGUUCUCCAGUCUUUGUAGCAUGUGCAACAAAGCAGUUUGCAAAUCUUCUGAUCCCUUUGACAUACUUCUUUGAUCAAAGAUGUCCCAUUGGGCGUGCCAAAACUAUGUUCGUGGCAGGAAUUUCCGUCGGGGAUGUUUCCUAGCCGACGAGCACACAGUUCCCCGAGAGGUCGGCGCCGGUUGAUGCUUUCUGUCGGGCUUCUGCUUUACUGGCGGGCUUGUCGGGCAAGGCUAAAAGAGAAGGACAGAGUUAACUUUGAAAGGUGUCUUUGUGGGGCCUUAGGUGUAGGCCCUAAGGCUCACAAUCAAGAUUAACUUUUAAGUACUCAGGCGUGCCACUGCCAUCUUCAGCAUGGCAGAUGUAAAACGGAUGUUUGGGUUUUAAUUAUAUAUAUACCCGAGAGACCAUAUUAGUUAUGACAGAUGCCUUUGUAGGGCCUUAGGUGUAGGCCUUGAGGCUUCCCGUUAAUAACUAACUUUAGUACUCGAAUAUAUAAGGUUCAUUUUCUUGGUUAUAUGAGUCUUAUAACCAUUAUACUUCUGAUUACCUGAGCCGGAAGAGCAGAAUGAAUCCAAAUAGGUGCCUUUGUAGGGCCUUAGAUAGGCCUUGAGGCUUCUCAUCAGAACUUCUUCUAUACCCAACGUUCUAGCCUGAGGAACAGAAUGAAUCCAAAUAGAUGCCUUUGUGGGGCCUUAGAUAUAGGCCUUAAGGCUUCCAAUAAGAAUUCAUUCCGUACUCAAACGUUCUAUGGUAAUCAUAAUAUAAUAGAAAUAAAACUAAGUGACUGGUCGAUUACUUGCGCCUCAAGUAACUUCGGACUUCUUGUUUAUCAAAGCUUGUCGUGGAUGGGUUAAGUCCAUAUAAGGUUCUUUUUUUUAUGCCUUGAGGCCAAGGACUUUUGAGUGAUCAAAUCUUACAUGCCCGAGGGCUUAGAACUUAGAUCCGGCUUGAACUGUGAAGACAUAUUCAAAUCGGAUUCAAGCGCUGAGAGAGUUUUUUAAUAGCUAUAUUACUAGAAAUAACUUGAAUACAACUUGUAGUAUACAACAUAUUGCUAGGCUAAUGAAUAAAAAGACAAAAACAAAGAGGGUCGGACAAGGUUUAACCUUGUCAGACAAGAUUGAUCGUCUUGCAACUUCCUAUCUUUGUGGUUUAUCAGGAGGUUUGAAAGCUUAGAAAAGGGGUUGGGAGAUGAGUUUACAGAAAGAAAUCGAUACUGCAGCAAGAGUUGAGCAGGGUAGCAGAGCUAUUACAAAGGGUUUAUCCCGAAAGGGAUGAAGGCUUGGGCUAACUACAGCUUCGUUUUGAAGGUAAAUCUGGCUUUGAGCAGAGUUUGUGCUUGUAUUUGUUGGUUUGUUUGAGUGUCCUUAACUCUGAUUUCUCUUUCUUCUUUUAUAGACACUUUGGCUUGGCCUCCUGUAGCAACAAUCUUGCCUGAAUGCAGUUUAAAGGAUAGUGACUCAUCAUCUAUUUACUUGUACUGCCACUGUAAAGUACUUUUGGGCUGAUUAGCUGGCUGGUCUAUACCACUUGGCCCUUGGGUAGGUGAGCAAGUGGUGCAAAUGAUCUGCACCUAGUCGGGAAAGCCCUUUUCUGCCUCUGGGCUUGGGUUGUGCUUCGAGCUUUUCUCCUCUUUUCUGGCCAACUCCCUUCUGAGCCUAAAGUUUAAGUUUUAACCUAAACAAUAUAUAUAUAUAUAACUCAUAUGAAGAGAUAGGGACCUGGAGGGUAGGAAGUAUGAAGGCCGCCUCUAGCAGUAGCAGGAUGAAGAAAAGAGGAGAAGUUGAGAGAGAGGAAGAGGAUGGAAAUACCAAGCUCCAUUCUGUGAUCUUUGAGGUUGACUAUGGACACGAUGGAGCUAGAUUCAGGAAGCCAUUGUUGGAACUUGGAAGGAGUUAAAGAAGAUGAAAACGUAACGACGAAGAUCGGAGAUGCUGGAUCGCCCGAAAAUGGGCUGCAAAUUCCAAUGGGAACAAAGAAACGGGGACUUCGAUGUAUGGGUUGCAAAUGGAUCUCGGCCCAUUUGUUAAACAACUGUUGUUUGGGCCUAAAUAAGCCAACACACCUACCGGAUGAACCGUUCAAACCGACCGAACCAAACUAAAUUAAAACCUGGGGCGUUGUGAUAUAAGUGCUUGAGUUUUCAACUCUAUAGACUACAUAUAUGUUGGUUUUAGAGAUUUAAUUAAACAUUUUUCCUACAAAUGUGGAGUCUCAUCUAUCAUCAUACCUAUCCUUUAUGUGUACCAAAAUUACAGAUCUUACCACGGCCUAAGUCUUCACGUCAGGAAAAAAAAAUGCAGGGAUAUUGAAACAAAUUUCCUACAAUCUAGCUCCUUUGAUUCCCUCUAAAGAUAAUUAUACAAAAAAAAAAAAAAACUAACGAAAAGUCCAAAAAAACUUCCCUUUUAACGAAAAGCAUUUUUUAAAGGUAUAGUGAAUAGUGACAGUUAAAGGUAAAAAUGUGGUUUUUCAUUAAAAGUGAACAGUACCGGGAGUGUUUUGUUAAAACUCCCAAAAAAAAUGAUUAUAUACAAUUUAUUAAGGAAUAAAAUACCCUGCCUUUUUAUUUUUAUUUUUUUUCCUUUCAAUGAAGAAAUAAAAUACCAUUUAAGAUAUUUGUAGUAAUCCAUAUGCAAAUUUUAGUAGUAAUUCAUGUAAGAAAAUAACAUCGAGAAUAAUACAAACGUACCAGUAAAAAUUAUAUGUAUGAAAACAAACCAACUAAAACCGGAAAUAAACAUACUAGUAAACAACAUUGAAGAACAAAAGUAAAUGUACCAAUCAACAAUAUAUAUAAUAUUAAUCGUACCCAUAUUGUAACAUCCCACAUCGCCCAGAGCACUCCCAAGAUGGGUGACCUACUAGGAAGUUGCUCGUGAGUUCUCAAAAACAAAACCGUGAAGGAAUGGUAAGCCCAAAGUGGACAAUAUCGUGUUAGGGUGGUAGAGCGGGCCUGGGAUGUGGUGGAUCCGGGCCGAGAUGUGACAAAUGGUAUCAGAGCCAAUCCCUGGUCGGAAGUGUGCCGACGCGAACAUCGGGUCCCUAAGGGGGGUGGAUUGUAACAUCUCACAUCGCCUGGGGGAGUGAUCCUUAAAUGUAUAUUAUCAUCCUACCUAGCACGAGGCUUUUUGGGAGCUCACUGGCUUCGGGUUCCAUCGGAACUCUGAAGUUAAGUGAGAAGGAGGCCAAAGCGCUCUCAGGAUGGGUGACCCACUGGGAAGUUGCUCGUGAGUUCCCAAAAACAAAACCGUGAGGGAAUGGUAAGCCCAAAAAUGACAAUAUCGUGCUACGGUAGUGGAGCGAGCUCGAGAAGUGAUCCGCCCCGGACCGGGAUGUGACACAUAUGAUACUAAAUGGGACAAUCCAUAAUGUAUACAAAAACAAUUGUAACAAAAUAGUGAAAAAAACCUAUCAAUCAACAAGAACAAAACUAAAUGUAACGGAAGCAAAAACUAAACGUACCGAAAGCUAAAACAAAUUGUUCCAAAAGUUAAAACAAAACAUACCAAUCAACGAUAUGUACAACCCAAAAUUAAAAAUAAACGUACCAAUCAAUACAAAACCAAUAUAUGAUAACCAACAAUAAACAUACCAUUACAAAUUCAAAUGUAUACAAAAUAAUUAUCUAACAAAAAGUAUACUAAAUAAUAAAGAAACAAAAAAAAUCUAAGCAUCCAUCAUUUCAAUUAUUUUUUCAAUUUUUGGAUAAAAAAAUGGCCGGAUAAAAAAAAAUCUCUCAACUAAUUAAAAGGACAAAUUUAGAAAUCAAUAUGUAAAAUUUUAAUUUAAAAAUUACAAUUAUUAUUUUUAGUUUUAAAAAAAAAAGAGAAAUACUUAUGUGACCUAAUGUACCAAAGCGCCUUGAUCAAAAUUCUAAAAGGGAUGAAUGUGUUUAAUAAAAGAAAUUCAAAUUUUGAGCAUUUAAAUCUAAUUAACUCUUUUUUUUUAUAUACAACAAUACUUUACAUCAUAGGGUUUGAAUUAAAUUGAAGAGAAAUGUCACUAACUAUAUUAGUAGUGACAAAAUUGAUUUUGGAAGUAGUUGUCUAUUUUUGAAGGGAUUUACGACAUGCUAAAUGUAAUUAUGUAAAUUUUUGCCUGUAUUUACUAAUUAGUAAGGAAUUUGAAAAAAACAUUAAUUAUUCUUUAAAAUUCGUUAUCAAAUACCUAAAAAUCGGGAAGCAUAUUAGUAAGGUGCCAUUUGAUCCGGUUCUCUUUUCUUACUUUUCAUAUUUUCCAACUUCUUUCAUUCCUUGCCGCUCAGUACUACGGUUUGGUGGUAUUCAUCUUCACUUGGAAAUGAGAAGUCUUAGGUUCAAAUUGAUGUGAUGAAAGUUAAGCACUCAAAUUAAACCCUCUUGUUGUCAAAUUGUAGUAUAAAUGCAAGUAGGGAUCGUUCUAAACCGGAGAUUAGGAGGGCUUGCUAAAACCUCUAAACUUACUCAAAAACAUAAAAACAAAGUUAAAAACGUUUGAAUAGACUCAAGGGACUCAAAACAGAUUCUAAAGACUCAAAACUGCCUAAAAAAACACAAACUGGGCAGAUUUGACUCUAAUACAAUUUUGGACGAAUUUAGUGUUUUGGUUUGAAUCAAAACACUCAAAAACACAAACAAAACCGAAAUUUAACACUUUGAAACAAGAAAGUAAAAUGGGGAUUUUGGUUUUGAUGAAUUUGAAACAAACAAACAAGUUAUAAAACUAGGCAGAUUGUAAGACAAAUUUGAGGAAUACGAUGAUGGAUGGAUUAGUUAGAGGUCCAUUCUUCACACAUGACACACUUGUACAUGAAUCGAUUUCCAAUUGCUUUUCAAUAAACUAUUAUGCUCAACACCCCAGAUUAACCGUGAUGCACAAAUUAACCCUCAUAUUUUCCUUUACUCAUUGAAUUGGAUGAAUGCAUGCGACAACCCAAAUCAUUCUCUAAAAAUCCCCUAUAUGAAUGCAUAAUAGAGAUACAAUCAGAGAUCAUUACGUUCAAUGAAAAUCAUAAGUGUUGACGAGGCAAUUAUAACGCGAUUGUGAUAAACAACCUUCACUACUCAUGAAUAUAAACUUGUAACGAUUAGGUGAAACUCAUUUAUAUUCUAGCAUCUAAUUCAUGCAUGAAAAUUAAGUAUGCUUCCUUAAUAAACAUACAAGAAUCAGUUAUGAAUAAAAUAGAUAAUUGAAUUGCAAUCACAACUUAUCAAAUCACAAUUGGAAGAAAUCAAUUCAUAUCUCAAGCAUGUUCAUGGCUUCAAACUUCCCCCUAACUAAAUGGGGGUUUAGCCACUCAUAAUUGCAACAAAAUCAGAAAAUGAAUUUAACAUUGGAAACAAAAGAAAGAAAACACAUAAACGCUCCAACGAUCCAAGUUGAAAGCAUGCACGUCCAAGCACUUUCCUUUCCUUCCUUUGCUACGGCACAAGGUGUUGGUGAGUGUUUGAAGGUUUGUUUGUAUGGAGGAAUGGAUGUGAAGAUGAAUGGAUGUGUUUGAAUGAAGGUUGUAUUGAAAUGGGAGUGAAUGAUCUAAGAAAAUAUGAACUCCAUUUAUGUUACACACACUUCCUUUUAUAGAGGAAGUGCAAGGCAAAGCAUGGGUAAAAUGGAGUAGUGUUGAAAUGAUUCAAAUGUGAAAGUGGAGUAAUGAUGCAAAGCAUGGGUAAAAUGGAGUGGUGUUGAAAUGAUUCAAAGGUGAAAGUGAAGUAAUGAUGCAAAGCAUGGGUAAAAUGGAGUGGUGUUGAAAUGAUUCAAAGGUGAAAGUGGAGUAAUGAUGCAAAGCAUGGGUAAAAUGGAGUGGUGUUGAAAUGAUUCAAAGUAAUGAUGCAUGAAAUCUGAAAUGAUGGAGGGAACAAGGAAUGGUGUAGCAAUUAAGUGCAAGGAGGGAACAUGGAUGAUGAUAAGGUAAUCUUGACUCAUGUUUCUUCUUUGGUUGCUGAGCUCUUUGUCAUUUUUACAUUAAUUCUUCUUUCUUUUUAACACAUUCCAAGCCUCUUUAGUCUUCAAUUUUGUCCAUCCACCUUGCUCCAUGCAUGUGCUAUCCAUUCCAAGCCCAAAACUGCUCCAAAAUGCAUCUUAUUGCUUUAUAAGGCCUAUGAACCUACAAACACACGAAAAUAGCUUAAAAUACAUAAUUAACUAAGAAAUAACAACAUAAAUGCAUGAGAACAAGCUAACUCAAUCGCAUAAAUAUGCUCCUAUCACAAAUCUCGUGGUUGGCGAAUUCAAUACCAAAUUUGUGUGGCUUAACAGAACUCUCAUUUCUCUUAGUGUAAAAAUAUAUCAAUGUACUCAAAAAGUUAUUUCAUUCCUUUAUUUUCUCAUUUAUGAUAAGCAAACAUUGAAUUAAGAGAUAUGGAUCCAAUAUUACAUAUCGUGUUUAUGAACGAGCCUUGGUAAGAGUCACAACCUAAUCAUGAGUGAAAUCGUCACAUGUGUAGUGCCAAUGUUUUCAUGCAUAAGCUCACUAAAGGGUCUAUUUCGUUUUCCUACCUCUCAGUUGGUCCAACUAGGUCCGAAAGUACUCCUAAGGUAAAGUAAGGCUCAAGGAAUACAUCGUGUUCACAACAUCAUAACAAUAAUAAGGAAAUACAAUGAAAUGGGUUUAGUGGAGAGCCUUGUGGCGUAGUAAACAUCAAUUUAGGUCAUGAGGACUAGAGGCAAUGUUGACCAACUUCUUAUGUCAAGUUUCAAGGGGUAACAAUGAUCAAAAUCGAGUUGCAAGAGGCUAAGUAGAGCGAACUAUGAGUCUAAGGGAGUAAAGUGGCGAUUUUGAGUUACAUGGAGUAAAGUGAGAUUAAAAUCGAGGGUGUAACUAAAAAUAAGCCCAUUUGUUUACUUUCUUGGUUUGGUCAUGUAAUCUAAAGGUUGUUUGGUUAUUUUCCAAUAAAUAUUGGAAGGCAGACAAACUCGUAAAUCAUUAUGCAUUGUGUUAGUGAAUCGUGCUGAGAACAAGUCAAUCCUAUUUAGUUUCUGCACAAGGAAGGGUACAUGAAUCAUGCUCUAGAUGUUUCCAAUAUGUCAUCAAAUAGUUUGGAUUGCAAUUGUCUCUGAAUCAAUUGAGGUCUACUAUAAAACCAAUUAGCUAUAUGGAGAGUAGUCUAACUACUUAUAAACUCAUGCAAGAUUCUUUCUCCCAUCAACGUAUGACUCAUUCUCAACAUGCCCCUCAUAUGUGAUAAAUUUUCAAGUCUAACACGUGGACAACACAACGGGGUGACAUCAAGCGUGUGUGGUCGUUUUACCGUUUAACUUCACACGUGAAACAACUUGUUCUGGUACCAUGAAGAAAUUGAGCUUCCACCAUAAAACCAAUUGACUAUAUACAGGGCCGACCCAGGCCCAAUGCGGGCAGGGCGACCGUCCAGGGCCCAAAAAAAUUGGGGGCACCAAAAUUAUUAGGAUGAUAUAUUUAUAUAUGUUUUCAUAAGAGUAUACAUUUAUAAAAUUUGGUUCAAGGACAAAGAAAUUUAACUAGAACUAGUGGUUUUGUUGUUUGAAAUUAAUGAGGAGGUCUUGGGUUCAAAACACCGUGUGUGCUUAUUUACUUUUCAAUUUUUACGAAUUUUUGUUUGGUUGUUAAUUUAUUUUUAAUUAGUAGCUAGUAGCUAUGUGGGUUGUUAUUUUUAAAACAUUUGUUCCAAUUCAAGUCUAAUCUUCAAUAAAGGGUAAUGCGUUGACCAAAUUUUUGGACCAAAUUUGAAAAUCAUAUGACGUGUACCCAUUUAUUACUUAUACAUAUCAAUUAAAGACUAAAAAAAUAUCAUUAUUUUUUUAGUCCCAUAUUGACAAGGUUAGUAAAUAAGAAAAAAAACCUCACGAUUCAUACAAAAACACUUUAAAAGUUUAGAUGGAAAACAAAACUCAUAUCUAUCUACUUGUAAAUCCGGAGUUUUUUUGUUUCCUUCUCACGAUACAAAAUAAAUUAGUUUUUCCGUGUUUCUAAAUUAUUAAGUUUGGAGUGUUUUUCUAAGUAUAAUUUUAUCGAUGUCUUACGUAUGAAAACAAAUAAUUUUCUUAUAUAAAAUGAGGGCACAUUUUGUGGCGUCGCCCCGGGCCACAAAAAUCUCUAGACCGGCCCUGACUAUAUACAAAGUAGCCCAACUACUUAUGCUUAUAAGCUCGCGGAAAAUUCCUCUUCCCAUCAAUGUAUGACUCAUUCUCAACAUACUAAGUAGGCUACAGAUUUCAUACCAAAAUCGAAAACCCUUAUCAAUUGCAUCUGACCGAGAAAAAAUUUGGUGAGCCCUUGAGUCAAGGCUACACUAAAUUAGAGACUUUCUCGACCUUCCCAGGUAUGGCAGAAUGGUCCAAAAAAGAAUGAGAGAAGUUUCAUGGUGGGUGACAUAAAUAUUUUCCUCUUAACAAAACAAAGAGACAUGAAAUCCUUUUUAGAAGAAAGUUGGGAACUUUCUCGAAAAUCUUGCACCCAAUCACUUUGGUGAGGAUAAAUGUUAAAGGAAACAAGGAAGCUUCCAAGAAAGUUGGUUUUCCACCUUUGUUUUUUAUUUUUUAUUUUAUUUUAUUUUAUUUUAUUUUUUGUGGAAAAUAAUUAUCCUUCCACUUUAGUCGUACACUAGUUAUUUAUACCCGUUAAAGUAGAAUGAAAUGCUAUAUUAAAGACUUGAAAAAUGAAUUUGCAUAGCAAUAACAACAUUAAUAACAAAGUACAUGGAAAAGUGGGAGAAAAGCUUGAAUUGUGAGAAGAUAGGGAUAAACAUGAUAGUUUAUGAUUGGAUCACAUCACUUAUAACUGUUUUUGGAUUAGGAUGAUCAUAUUUACAAACAAAAAAUUAGUAGAUACUUUCAUACAGGAAUACAAAAAAUAUUGGAGCUAUAUAUUCUACUUUAGCUGUUCUUUGUGCUCUAAAAACUAAACCAGCUUCUGUACACAAAAAAUUAACAAAUGCUGGUAUACGAAGGUGUAAAAAAUAUUGUCCAGCUUUGAGCAGAAAGUGGUAUUUACAAACCACCAAAGAUAUUAGACAAUGUUUAAUACAAAGUAGGAAAAGAUGCAAAAUAUACUGUAGCAGAGGAGGAAACGUCUUGUAGCAGGAGCAUUAUCAGUGUUGACAUUGAGAAACCAUCCUGUACAGAGAGAAAUAAUGCAAGGCAUUUAGACAGUGAUUAAGUUCACAACUGAGUAGUUUUGAAGCAAAGAAUUUAGCAAAAUGAAACCAUACUGACCUAGUUAAUUUUUAGAGGGACUAUCUGUUUUUGCAGAAGCUGGAGGUGAUUUUUUUUUCAGCAAUUUGAUAGGCAUUUCAUCAAAUUCUUUCGAGUCAACUUCUGAAAUUUCUUUUGCUUCACUGUUUUAAAUGACCAUGACUAAUGAGCACAUUUAAUUGGAUAAAACAUAAAAAAUGUUGUCCAACUAUAAUUCGUAUCUCUUUACUCAAAUUUUUUCACGCCCCGAUCCCGACAUACGUUCGGGAUCGACACGUGACGUCAUCAAAUAACCACAUAUCUAACAUACCCGUCCCCCAGGAUAUGUAUCAAGCACAUGCCAUGCCUCGAAUUGCAUAGAAUUUUUCGUAUACUUUAUGGCUGCAUCUAACCUCCUCGUUAAACUGCCUACGUACUCUCAAUAGGGAUCAAGCCAUUCGUAGUUCACCAACCACUAUAAUUGACAUAUAUCACAGUCCGUUUAAGCCGAAAGGCAUAACAUUUCUCAAUCAAUCAAUAGAACUUGACAAGCAUGAAAUUACUAAACUUAGGGUUGCAUAACAAACCCACAUGACAUUCAAGGUUUCCAUUUCAUCCAUCAUAUAAAUCCAUAUGAUUUCAACAUGAUACCUCCAUCCACAGCAUGUAACUUAUCCAAUAACCAACGAAGCACAAUAUUAUUCUCACACCACAUUGAUCACUAAAAUAAUCAUAAUAAUAACCAUCAUAUCCAACAUCACUCCACAAUCCCGUCAAUUAAUCCAUUCAUGAAUCAAGGAUGCAUGAUCUUAGCAUUUAACUACAUUAAUCAAUCAAUACGAUAACAUAUCAUUUCACGUAUUUAGUUAAAGAACUCUAUAUAAUUCCUUACUUGGUUUAUGAGUAAUAACAUAGUAAUUCUAAUUUAUAUUCACAAGGUCUAUGGAUAAUUCCCAUUCACUCGAAUCUAGGUUCUAGACUAACUGUUUGGAAUGUGCAAGAGUAAGGAUUCCGGACCACUCAACGAAAUCCAACCACAUCGGGUUCCGGACCACUCAACGGAACCAAAAUAUCAAGCGAUUUCUUAUAAUCUACUCAGACCUGUCAUAUGCAAAAUUAGUGCCUACAUCAUGGAAAUGGUGCACUGGGCAAUUCAGAACUUGGAUAAGUUGUGAAGCUCAGGUGAGCGACAAUAAUACAAAGUGUGUGAUAAUGGUGAUAAAACCAACCGUCAAUCACAGUUUAUAAACUUUGAAUAUAAAUCAUUCAUAAGAAAUUAAUACCAAACAUUCGCAAACUCCGAAGGAGUCACCCAGACAUCCAAUGGUUCGUCUGAAACAAUCACAACAUCUCACACCCAUAUUCUCAUAUAACACCAUGACAAGUAGGGUUAGAGCAACAUAGUUCGGCCGAAGCCUACAUCUUUGAAGCUGAAAACAAAGACACCAAAGGGAUUCUGGACCACUCAACGGAAUCCAAAUUAGGAUACGAUUCCGGACCAUCACUCAACGGAAUCGCGGAGUAGAAGGGAUUCCAGACCAUUACUCAACGGAAUCCACAUUAAAUUAUGAUCGCCUAUCAAAAUGUACCAAGCACAACUAAUCAUCAUCCCCUCUAAAAUGCGUAUGGUCCUCAAUCGCGGAUAUACCAAGCAGAACCAUAGGCAUAAUAUCUUCGUGCAGGUAGUGAUCACCCAUUGCGGAUAUACCAAGCAUGAUCACUCCUGAAUUCAUAUGAUCCCCCAUCGCGGAUAUACCAAGCAGGAUCAUCUAUUUACCUUUGCUACAUGGGGUAGUUAGAUCAACACACAUACAUCAUACCACUUAUCCACAUCUCAACCCCUAUGAGUUACAACGUAGCCAUCUACACCAUCAACUUCUCAAGGCCAUCACUAAUAUGUCACUCAAGUAUAUAAGUGCUACAACAUACUUCUAAUAGGAUUCUAGGAUCACAUUGUGUAACAUCCCACAUCGCCCAGAGGAGUGAUCCUUAAAUGUAUAUUCACAUCCCUACCUAGAACGAGGCUUUUUGGGAGCUCACUGGCUUCAGGUUCCGUAGGAACUUUGAAGUUAAGCGAGAAGGAGGCCAGAGCACUCCCAGGAUGGGUGACCCACUGGGAAGUUGCUCGUGAAUUCCCAUAAACAAAACCGUGAGGGCGUGGUCGGGGCUCAAAGCGGACAAUAUCGUGCUACGGUGGUGGAACGGGACCCGGGAAGUGAUCCGCCCCAGGUCGGGAUGUGACACAUUGUCAUAAAAAUAAUCAUACUCAUCAUUCACAUUACUAAAAAGAUAAUUAAACUCACAUAUAUCACAACCAUCAUCAGUACACAAGCCAAAUCAUGUUAAUAAACAUAUGUCUACGACUAAAUAUAUAAAAUCACAUUUAUAACACCAAGCCAUAUUCACAAAUGAUAUAAAUAUAAGAAUUUAAAGUAUCUUCAAUUGUAGAAUAUCCAAGUGGUGGACCUAUCUAAAUAUACUCAACCAACAACAUUUCAUAAAUCGAAUGCCACACAUCGAAAAAUUUGACUUUUUUCAAAAAUUCUCAAAUUUUACAAGAAUGAAGAUCUCAAUAAGGGAAACAUUAUUCACAACUAGGCCAACAACAAAUUCUAACCGGAAACCAUCCAAAUUCAUCGGGGAAAACCGGAUUUCUAGGGUUCUAAACACCAAACUCUAAAACGAAUACGAAAACACAAACCAAGCAUACCAACUUGGAGAUUAUGAAGAGUAGAUGAAGUUUCAUACCUCACUUGAAUGAAAUGGUUGCCGGAAUCACCGGAAAACCCACGGGACUUUGCUGCCUCGAAUUGGAAAAGUGGAUAAGAAAAUGGGAAAUCUAACACCACAAGGUUGUAGGGCUCGUCAAGAGCUUUCCAUGGACACUAAGAUCACUCAAAACGGAGCUCGGAUGAAGAAGAUAUGAGCGGGUCAACUAUGGUGGUUCGUGGGUCCAAAAUGACCCAUUUCGGGUCUCUCUCCUUUCCCCUUCUUUUUCCAUUUUUCUGAUUGGUUCUUCUCCCCCUCUAAAAAUCUGGUUGGUCCCCCCCCCCUUUUUUUUAAAAAAAAAAAACUAACUUAACCUUUAACCCACAUGUGGGAAUUUAAUAAUUCCCACAAUCUAUAGUUCACAACUUCAAACGUCCAUAACUAUACCGUAUAAUUCAGACUCGCAAACGGCUUUCGCCUAUGCGUUCGUGAUUUCGAGAUCUCUCCAAAAAUAUAAAUUGUGACCUCGAAAGGUCUACGAAUUUUAGAUAAUUACUUUCUAAACUUCAAACUUCGUAACUAAUUUAAUUAAAACCUAAAUCCAAAUAAAUUAAUAUAAUUUCUCAAAAAUAACAUAAAAUCUCAAUAAUACAAUUACGUAGAUUAUAACAGUGAAAUCCAGGAACGAGAUUUUACAAAUUUUGUCUUUAAAAAAAAAAGAAAAGAUUCUUGAUAGGUAUAUAUUAAGCAAAGCAAGAUAGCCAGAAGAUAUGAAUAUUUGAACACAGGGAAGUGAAAUAAAAGUAUCAGAUUUUAUGGUACUACGGAUUUUGAAUCUAUACCUUUGUUCACUGCCAGUAAAAAGAGCUUUCCUCACAGACUCCCUCUUUCGUUUAUUUGAUUCUCCGCUUGUUUCAGGUGGUGAGGUCGAAGAUGAUACAGUAGUGGAAGAUAUUGCGACUGCUCUUGGUAAGAUUUGUGGAGUUAUUGGUUCUAUAGCUGUAUCAUCGGACACAUUAUAAACCAACACAUCACUUGAGUUGAAACUAUUUUUUCUAUUUCCGAAUCGCAAGUGGAAAAUCUUCUUUUGUCCAAUCAGUCGCAAAAACUCAUUUGACAGUUGUUGUUGGUUAAUCAAUCUCUGAUUCAUGACCAAAUCUUUGCAGGGCAUACCAAAGAGUUUUUCUCCAGCUUUGCCAAUUAUCAAAGCACUAAUUUCAUUAGUGAUGUCUUCAAGAAUCAAAUUAACUUUGUACCUAUAUUUAAAAACUGAAUUCCAUGAGUUUUAUUUUAUUUUAUUUUUUAUUUUUUUUAUGGCUUAUAACUCAUUGUUAACAAUCAGAGCAAAGAAGUUUAAAGAACAGAGGUCACAGAUUUGAAGUCAUUUUUUAGUUGGAAAGAAACAACAUGGAAUUGAAAAUCGUAGAAAAAGUAAAAAAAAGACAGAGUAACAAACUUGCAUAUUGAAUGUUACCAUGGUGUUGGACUUUGGUUGGUGUGUUUCUGACAGAUGAGUUGUCCGGUCGAUGGGUCCUUGUGCAUUUGUUUGACACAGCUAAGGCAAGCAUUGUACCACCAAUCAUAACGUGUGUCAAAAUGUUUGACAGAUGCUUUACAUAGGAAUGUAUCAUUUUGUUAAAUGUUUUAUGACACAUGUAUCAUAAAAGAGCAACAACAAAAUUAGUUUUUGUUCAAUAUGUAAAAAUGCAGGUAAAUGUUUUUUUUUAAAGAUAGAAAAGCAUAAAUCGUUUGUAUACCUUAUACAAAUCAGGAUCCAAAAAGGCCAGCUCGUCUAUUGUUACUCUUCUUGCUGUACGCAAAAUUUCAGCCUCAUUUGCCUGCCUUGAAGAAGGAGGCAGUAUUUUUACAGGGACUUUACAGGUUGAGAACCUGCAAGUUUAAAAAGAAAAUAAGAAAUUUUGAAAAAUCAACAUGUUUAGAGGUUUGAACAUGAAGGACAAUUUUAGAAGUGCACUAACUUUGAUUUAUAUGAGUUAACCUCCAGGAUGUCUGAGUCGAUGAAAAAAAGGGAGGAGCCAGUACUAUUCAAGACGAUGUUCUCUGUUGAUGGCAAAAAAUAAUAACAUAAUUGUAAAACAAAUAUUAGCAAAUAGGGUAAAGUACAAAAAACUACCUCAACUAUUAGUGUAACGACACUUUCAUACCUCAUCUUUUAAAAUUGACAAUGUCAUACCUCAUCUUUAGAAUUUGGUCCAAUGUUACACCUUUCGUUACUUGGCCAUUUACUUUUCAGUUAAAUGCUGACGUGGCUUGAUCCGGAACCCAUAAAAAAUUAUUAAAAACUAAAAAAAUAUAUUUUAAUAAUUUUUAAAUAUUAAAAAAAAAUUAAAAAAAAUUAAAAAAAAAAACCCUUCCCUUCCCCGCCUUCUCUCUCUUCUCCCCCAUCUUCAUCUUCUGUCCCCUUCCAGCUCCCUUGAGGAGGAGGAAAAGAACCUAAAAAAAAAAAAAAAAACCGAACCUGGGUUCAACAAGAAAAAAAAAGAAAAAAAAAACCCGAAUCUAGGUUCAACAAGAAGAAGAAGAAGAAGAAGAGGAAGAAGAACUGGGUUGCUCCGGGCGGGGGGGGGGGGGGGAACUGGGUUUGAUUUGGUUUUUUUUUUUUAUCCUCCUUUUUCUUCUUCUUCUUCUUCUUUCGCUGGGGGGGUUUACUGACGGGUUUUUUUUUAAUAACUUUUCUUUAUUAUUUUAAUAUUUAAAAAUUAUUAAAUGAUUUUUUUUAGUUUUUAAUAAUAUUUUAUUAAUUUUUUAAUAAAAAUUGGGUCCCGGAUCAAACCACGUCAGCAUUUAACUGAAAAGUAAAUGGCCAAGUAACGGAAGGUAUAAAAUUGGACCAAAUUCUAAAGAUAAGGUAUGACAUUGUCAAUUUUAAAAAAUAAGGUAUGAAAGUGUCGUUACACUAAUAGUUGAGGUAGUUUUUUGUACUUUACCCUAGCAAAUAUCAUAGAUGAGUAAAUGUUUUUAAUUGGAUGAUAGAUGUUUAAAUGCGAGGAAAAAAGUGUAAUGGAUACAUAUAAAAAUGUGGUAAAAUAAUUUGAACAUGCAAUGCUAGAAACGAAAUACAAACUGUAACAAACAGGUUCUAACAUUUUAUAAAUAAGAAAUAAAAAAGAAAAAAAAUAAGACAUCUAAAUUCUGUCAUCAAGAGUAGCAAUCAAAUACACUAAAAUUCCAUAAUGAUAAAAGAGUGGAACAGUUUAUAGCAAGAAAUGUAAGAACAUAUCCAAAUAAAGAUAGAAAAAGUGGGUUUUAAUUAAAUGAGCUACCUAGGUAAAUCUUGACUUUUAAAUUUGUAAAUACAACAAUAAUCGGCAAAGACAACUUCUGGAUCAAUAAAGAACAAAAAGUUUCUACAAUAUUUGCCCACAAUGUAAUAGACAAUUCUUCUUUUCUGUGCACAAAACAAAUGAGAAACAAACAGUAAAUUUUCUUCCCAGCCUAACAAAGAAAAUGAUAUUAACAAAUUGGAAUUGCAACAGUUAAAGAAAAGAACAACCUGAUAUUCUCAAUGUGUAUGUCACUUUUGCGCUAUUCUUUGAUUAAUCUGUUUUGAUUCCAAUUGCUGGACCGCAGUUAUACGGCCAAUCACAUCUUACAAUUUAAAAAGUUAAUACAAAAAUAAUGUGAAAACUCAUUUUAGUGAAAAAAACAACAUAAAUGUUUUUAAUUGAUGGACAUGUAGAUACACACACACACACACACACAUAUAUAUAGACAGAUAUACACGUAUUGAUGUUACCUGUAAGAAUAUCAUCUUUGUUCAGACGGGGAUAGAGCAUGUUGAAAUCUAGUAGGAAAAACCGAUGUUGAAGGAUAGGUGGAAAGACAGUAGACAAUUUUUUAAACACUGUUGUACCAAUGAAUAUAACCUGGGUUUCAUGCGACACCACUUUAUACCGUCCUCUGAUUUUGAUUGUGCUAAAAUUCAUGAUUUCGUAACAACUACCAGCGUCAAUCUUUGAUGCUACCAGUUCACAAUCGAUGUCUGACGUAGAUGCUUCAACCGCAUUGUUCUUUGUAAUUGAUCACACGCCAUAUUAAGGAAAAACAAAAAAAGAAUAAUAACAGAAUUAAAAAACACUUUAGACAUGUUAAAAAAUCAAACUGUUAAAUAUAUAUAUAUAUAUAUAUAUAUAUAUAAACAUAAAUAUAAAUUAACAAACUAACAAAUGAAAAAAAAAAUAAUAAUUAUGACAUAACUAUAACUGUUAAAAUACUUAAUUUAAAUUAUGGAACAAUGAUGGCUUACCAUUUCAUCAACCAAGAUACACUGUAGUGUUACGUAUUUGCAAACAGUUGCGGAAUGCUAGAUUUCCAUAUCCUACAGACACGAACCUUUAUUUUCUCCGCUUUAAUGUAAGGACGCAAUUCUGCAAAAUGGGUGACCUUAACUGUUUCCAUUGAAUCUAUUAAAAGAGAAAUAAAUUUUAUAAAUAUAAGAAUCAACAUAACACAAAUCUGUAAACAAAUAUGAAAGAAAGGAUUGAUUUCUUUCAUUCCUAAUUAAAUAAAUGGUUAAAAUAAUUUUAACAUAACUAUUACCGAUAAGCACUACAUAAACUCGAAAUUCCAAAAAUAAAAAGGACUCAGAAAAGAAAUAAGCCAACCAAAAGUAAUUAAAGAACUAAAUUUGACAAAAAAAAAUACAGUUCAUAUUACAAUAGUAAGACAAAUGAUCACACAUUAACAGAUGACAAAGAAUAACUAUUAUGAAACACUUAACACAUUAUGGAAGCAGUAAAACAAUAGUUGGAAAAAGCAAAUUAAAGAGGAAACCAAAUAAUCAAUUACCAAAAGUAAAACAAAAUGUGAAGCACUUGUCCCAAAAGGGAAAAGCAGGGCUAAGGUGAUAUAAUCAAUUACUUUCCCACACUGCAAAUGCAUAAACCAAAAAGAAAAACACUUACUAAGUUAGUUUUAAUAAGUUAAGAAAGAAAUAAAAGACAACUAUGUCUGUCAGGUGGCAUGGGUGUAAACUGUUUUUUUUUUCCUUCCAUAAAUAUAAGUUUACAUUAAUGUGAAGCGGAAAUAAACACAAAUUUGAAACAAUCAGGUAUCCAUGGUACUAAGCUAAAUUUCAAAGCAUUGACAACAAAUUUAAUAUUCUAUAGCCCCAAAGGAUCACCAGACAUUUAACCAACUAAUUAAUAAAGCAUUUGAGCAUCACAUGACUGAAAACCUAAAUCUCAAGCUUUAUAUAUCGAUGUGCACGGAAAAGAACUAACUUGACAACAAACAAUAUUAAUGCAAAUGUAUAGAUAAAGAAAGAAAUCCAAAACGUUUGAACACAAUUGUAGAACAAAGCACAUCGCAUUGUGAUCUUGAAUUGAUCCCCCACUAACAAUCUAAUACUGCGAACUUAUUUAAGUUCAAAAAUAAUAUAAGAUGUUAAACCUGAAUUAACAAAUAUACAACCUAUAUAAAAAAAUAAAAAUUAAAAAGUAAUUUUAAUUAAGUAUACAAAAUUGGAAAGCAGGAUUUAAUAUGGAAAAAAGGAUACAAAACUGGAAUCUAAGUAUCUGUCCCAAAGGUAUAUUUACCGUUGAAAGAGAAACCUAAAUUGCUCACCCAGAUUAUUAUCAAAUAAGGAACGUUUGAUAAAAGCAGCAAAGCAAUGUUUCAAAAGGGAUGACUCAAAAAGAAACCACAUAUUACAAAGACACAAACAUUACUUAUCGAAAGCAGAACAAAACGUCAAACACGUGUGCAAGCGGUAAACUGUAUAGUCAAGGAGAUAAUAAGAAUUUUCCCACAUUGCAAAUAGACAAAUUAAAAACAUAAACACUUAGGAAAUCAUGUUUAAUAAGCUGAAAAGGAGAAAAAAGACUAUACUUUUCUUAGAUGUCAUAGUUAGAAACUGUCUUUUAAUCCAGAAACCAAACUCAUCCAUUAGGAAUGGACAGCCAGCCUGGGCUCAUUAAAAAGCUCAACAAAAUAUAGAACCAAAGACUUACCCAUCAAUGCAUAAGUAAAGGAUUAACAUAAAAAAUAAAAGAGUGAAUCAUAAAAAGCAAGACCGCAAGUCACAAUUCUAGAAGAGGAAAACAGAAUGCUCACAACUAAAGCAACGGUAUCAAUAUUGUUCUACUAAAUUAUACGUUAUAUGAUGAGCAUUAUUUUGAUUGAGAUAUCUCACAUGUCAAAAAGUGAAGAAAUUCCAACGAAGGUGACAACCACAUUAUAUAAAGAAUAAACCUAGACCUAGUUGAACACGUAUAAUUUGUGAAAAAUCACAGGUUGCAUAAGGAAGAUUUUGAAAUAUGCAUCUCAAAACAGAUACCAUCUAAUUAUGCUGCUUCACAAACAAUGUUGCCGAUGAACUUAUGCUUCUCCCUUAUGCUGGAUUCGAAUGAUAUAAACUAAGAAAACCCCAUAUUAAAAAUCAAUAGCCAAAUACUAAAUAUACCAUCUAAUUCACCAAUUGCAUCCUCUGCAUCUCUAAUGUGAUCCAAGUGAACAAAAGCAUAACCCGGUGGUCUCCGAGCAACCCACACGAUUCGAAAUUAACAAUACAAAAGAUUAACAACCAUCCUCCAUAAAAAUAACACCACUUUAUGAAUCUGUGGGUAAAUGACUACAAACAUUACAAAAGGUGUUGUUCUUUUCGUCGAUAAAUUGCGGGAUUCAUCAAAAUCCGUCAAACUCCCACUUCAAUUUUACAAAAGCAACACAGAAAACAAAGUUUAACAAAGGGGCACAGCGACAACAAAGUUGCAACAGAUUGAGGAAAAAUGUUGAAUCAAACCAUUGGAUAACAUUUUCUCACGCACCCAAAAAAACCCACAAACUGAAAACCACAAAAAUCCAGUCUAAAACAUGGAAUGAUAUACUUAGAUGCACAAAAGAUAAACUAACAAAUUCAAAACGAAAUAAAAAUAAUUAACAAUAAGCAAGCACACCAUCCUUCGAAUUAAAAGCACAUAAUUUCAAAACUCCUCACCUUAAACACAGAUGUCUUCGCAUGGUGCAAAUAAAAACUUACAUUGAUUUCAUAUUUUCCGAGCAACUCAGGCUGCACAAUUGCACAAAACACCGACUGAAAGCAACAACACGAAAACUUGCGACGACUCGAAGCAGGAAUUUUUUAGGCAAAAAUGAUUUGAGGUGUGAGAACGACCGCGAAACAAAGAUGGAAAUAAGAGGAAACAAAAUGGAACAAAAUAUACCCAAACAAAGUACCACGCGAUGACCAACACGUGGGCCUGACAAAACUAUACUGCAACUGUGGCAAAAACAAAUACAACCACAAAAAAAGUGAAACGAAGUUUAAUUCCGUCAAAGACAACCAAACAAAGGGCAUUGGUGUAAUUUUACUGUACAAAAAGCUAAACCAAACGGAACAACAACAUCAAAACGGAGGACAUUUUCGUCCGUGAAUAGUAGCGCGGUUUUGGGGUUUUAGUAUAGGUCAAUGACUAAAAUAUCGAUAAUAUCUGCGAAAUAUCGUCGAUAUUAUCGUUUUUCAGAGAGACCGAUAUUUUCCCAUGUAUCCCCCUAAUUGUCGUCAAAAUAUCACGAUAUUAUCGAUAAUAUCGCGAUAUAUUCGAUAUUAUCAAAACAAUCGUCGUGGCUCUGUCGUCGGAAAGGCAGCCGAGGCUGUGUCGUCGCAGCUGCCCAUAUCUCUCUCUGCAAUCCAGGCUUAGACACAAGAUAUGCACCUCUAUCGUCAGAAAUGAAAAAUCUAUUUUCUUCGGAUCCCAAAACCCGUUCGGGUUUGAAUCAAACAGUUUGAUGGAUCCCCUUGCCUGAUGGUGGUCCCCGGGAGGUGAGAAAGGGAGGAGGAACGGUCCACAGGUGGUGAUGGUGCUCGCCGGAGUGUGCGCCACUGUGGUGCUCGACGGGUGUGGGUGUGGUGGUCUGUGCUCCGGGGGAGAAGAAACAAAGACAUGAAUGAGGGAGAAGGUUCGAAGGAUUGGGGAAGGGGGAAAUACGGGAAAGUGGGGUGUGUGUGUGUGUGUGUGUGUGUGUGUGUGUGUGUGUUUGCUCUGGGAAGAAGACUUACAGAGAAAAGAUGAGGGGAGAACCGGAGAUGAAUGAGGAGAGGAAUGAGGGAAAAGGAAGUGGUAUGUGCGUGUGUGUCUGUGGAAGUGGGGUGUGUGUGUGUGUGUGUGUGUUAUCCGAUAGAAGAAAAAAAAAUCCAAACCUGUUUCAAAAUAUCCAGCCCAUGUGUCAAUCUGUGUGUGUUAUCUGAAAGAAGAAAAAAAAAAUCUAAACCUGCUUUCAAAAUAUCCAGCCCACGUGUCAGUGAUCGUGAGGUUUGGUCUUAAAUAUUUUCACCCUGUUUUUUGAAGUUACUGGAAAUGCAAACUUCACGCAUGCAACACAGGAUGAGGACCAUGGCAGUAGGCGGGUAGGACCAAGAAUUGGUGCCAUAGGGAAGGACUACACUCGUAGAGAAAGAGGUAAGGGGACUUUGUCAAGUCAAGAAGAUGACUCGUUAUUUAUAACUUCGGACUAUGUUGGAGUGGGAAGUAGUAACUAUGGUUAUACUCAUAACCAACCAUUUCCCUACCCUUCAUAUCACAUUCCUGUUGGGAUGAAAUUGAGCGACUCGUGGAAAGAAUCUGAGACUCAAUCUUCAAAUGAUUUUGCUUAUGGACAACGUCAACCAAUCUCGGAUUCAUAUGGGUGGCAUGUUAACAAUUACAUGCAAAACUAUUUUAGGGAUUUAUCAUUUGAUGACUACUCUUCACAAUACACUUACUCUACACAUAGAGAUUAUGAAGAUAGUCAAAAUUUUGAACCUCAUAGGAACUUUAUGUGGUACUAAGUCACUCAUGUAUCUUACCAUGUAAUGUAUAAAUUGUAAAAUAUUGUACUAAUUCAUUAUAUAUAAAUGAUUAUGGUGUGUUUAAACUUGUUUCAUUAAUUACUAUAUAUUUUCUAUACUCACAAUGUUUGUCAGCUCGCUAUAUAAUCAACUUAAAUCAGUUAAAUUCAUCAUGCAAUGCAUUUCCUUCCAAUUUUUUGUGAUAAACUAAUAGAUAAUUAACUAAAUAAACAUUCUGCAAAGUUUCAAUAAAAAUUUCCAAGUUUUUCUUACAAUUUCCGUGGUUUUUAUUCAAUUUUUAUCGAUAUCGAUAAUAUCUGAUAUUUCCAUCGAAAUUUCCGUGUUUUUGAACUACCGAUAUUUCCGAUAUCAUCGAUAUUUAAUACCUUGGUAUAGGUAUAAAACACAAAGAAAGUACCACGCGAUGACCAACACGUGAGCUUGACAAAACUGUGAUGCAACUAUACCAAAAACAAAUACAACCAAUAAAAAAAGCGAAACAAAGUCCAAGCCAAGCAUAACCUGCAUAUAGCUAGGGGUGGAUUUUUUUGCCAAAUUGUCGUGCCAAGCGAAUUGUCAACCGUGCCAUACCGAUUUUGUGCCAAAUUUUUUGUACCAAUCGGUAAUGGUACGGUAUUGUACCGUACCGAAAUUUCAUAGUACGGUAUUGGUAAUGGAUACCAUUACCACGGUAUUACCGUACCAUACCGAAAAUACAAUAUAAUAUAUCAUUUAUAAAUUAUAUAAUAGAUAAUUAUAUAACAUAUUUAUAAUAUUCCAAUAAUUUGAAAAUAAAACCCUACUUAUAUUAGCAUUGUUGUUGGUGACUUGGAUAUCUUGAAAUUGUGGAAAUCAAACAUAAAAGAGUUCCUAAUUCUUUCAUAAAUAGCCAAAAUAUCUUUGUAACCCUCACUUCUACUGUUGCUAGUGAAAAUGCAUUUAGCCUAGGGAGGAGGGUUGUGGACCCUUUUAGGGUAUCCUUGACUCCUAAAAUAAUGGAGGCACUAGUGCAUACUAGUGGUUGGCUUAGGGCAGAUGAAGUAAACUUCUACAAGGAACCAACGGAAGAUAUGCUUCAAUUUUACAAGGAAAUGGAAGAAGAGAAAACAAGAAAGAUAUGCUUUAAUUUUUUCAGUAAAUUUGUUAUUAAAUGGUUUUCAACUUUAAUUCUUCUUGCUACUAAUUAAUAUGUUUUCUUUGUUUGUAAUGUAGGCUUGACACAAACUCAAUCUUCUACAAGUUCAAUGCCUCCUCCAAAAGCUUUGACAUCUCAAGCUUGAAUAACUGAUCAAUGAAUUCUCCUUUUUGAAGUUUACUUCCAAUUUUCAUUUGCUUUGAAACUUUAAUUUCUAUUUGGAUUGUUAACUUCUAUUUGUUUUGGUUUGUAACUUCUAUUUGGAUUGUAAGCUUAAUUUUCAUGAUGAAUCUUGAUGCAUAAUUUGAAUUAUUAUGUGUGUGAAUUGUGAAUGAUGAAUUUAAUCUAUAAUGUAUGAGAUAAAGGUACCCAAAAAAAGUUUUUCCCUUGAAUUGGGUUAAAAAAACAAAAAAAGAUUUUGUCCCAAAACAAAGUGGCGAUUACCAUUGCCAUUUCAUGCCAACCGAACUUUUGGCAAUACCGAACUUCGGUAUACCGAAAGUUUGGUAUGGUAAUGGUAAUAGAUUUUACCAAAUCGAAAGUUUUGUACGGUAAUUGGUACAAGGGUUUUGGUACGGUAACCGUACCGAACCCACCCCUACAUAUAGCACCAAAUGACGGCAAAACUGUAAAUUCACUGUUCUAAGCAGGGAAAAAAAGCCUCAGACUCAGCAGCAGUGAAGGGGAAUUACGUCAAAACACUGUUAUAGAACAGUACCAAAUCAAAACACUGUUAUAGAACAGUACCACCCGGUUUGGGUUUUGGUAUAUAUAAAUUUGUUAACGCGCUCCUUUUAGCUUUUCCUCUUGAAUGAAUAUUGGAAAGUGAACAGCUUUUGCAUCGGAAUUUCCUCGUUGCUUCUUUCAAGGAGAUUUACAUUGCAUCGAAAUAUUAGAGCGGUGUGGCUCAAUUAUCUCAAUUUUGCAUCCUAUAUUAACUUUGUGACAUAACAACACGUAAUAAAUUAGUUAUACCGUUGUCUUGACGUUCCUAUUUCACGUUAGAGGAAAAAAAAAUAAUGAGUGUUAAGUGUAUAACCAUUUCUUAUCCAUAGCUUCUAUUUCUUUUUCUUUUUUUGGACCAUUACCAACUGUUUUUUAUAAGGAAUUUUAUGGUACUUGAGAAUAUGAGAUCUCCGAACGUUUUAACCAUUAAAAUCUUUGUUUAAAAAAUACAAAUAUAUCAGCCACUUAGUACUACAGUUUAGUUGUAUUCCUCUUUACUUAUAAGUAAGAGAUCUUAGGUUCGAUUCUCAUCAAAUGCGAAUUUAAAUCACAUUAUUGCUUGCUAGCCCAUUGUAAGGCAAAACCCAACCCUCCCCUUAGUGUAGACAAUAUUGUUUGUUAAAAAAAAUACAAAUAGAAAAAUAUAAUAGUUAUAACACCCGAGUAUCAAUUUAGUACUACGGUCUAGUAGUAUUCAUCUUCACUUGUAAGUGAGAGAUCUUAAGUUCGAUUCUCGCUAAAAACAAAUUUGAAUCAAAUUAUUGCUAACCGAUUAUGAAGCUAAGCUCACUCUCCUCUCCUUUAGUGUAAAAAAUAUCGUUGUUAAAAAAAAAUAUAAAAAAUAUAAAAAAAACCCGAGUAUCCCAUACUACAAACCAUCCUAAUUUUUUUUUGUUCUUCUCCCACUUUAGGAUUUAGGUAAACAAUUAUACUAACUUUUCUUUGUCAAAGAAAUAAUUUACCAUCUGACACUAUAACCCACACUAAACCGUGUGGUCACCACCACCACUACUACCAAUGGAAGUACCCAGGUUGUCCAUCUCUCUCCCGUUUGUUUCCAUUACUACCUCUCUGUCUCUCAAUUUUCUUUCUCCUACAACUUUGCCGUGAGAAUUCUUAGUGUGAUUUUUUCUGCUCUUUUUCUUACCAUUUGUCAAUUACACAUCUAUGUAACACUUAGUCUUCCUUUCUCUGUUUUUUAGGAACCGAAAGGCGUAUGCUGCCUUUCUUUUUCUCUAUAAAAAAACUGAAUUAAAUUCCGAUUACAAAUUACUCCGGUAUUUACUAAAUACUAGGGAAUCAAUAAUGUGAUGGACCCCACCCGAAACAAGGAAUGCAAUUCCUGAAAUUGGAGGAGUGGAUUCCUUGGAUAGAUUAGGUAUUUGAAUUACAUGAGGGUGAGGGAAUCAGGAAUGCAUUUUUUCUUCCUAUUAAGCCUUCAUUCACAUCAUGCACAACUUCAUACUCAUUCACAUCAUGCACAACUUCAUACUCAUUCACAUCAUGCACAACUUCAUGCACAUGCCAAAAAGAAGAAACUACAAUUUGAGCGAGAAAAUUUAAAUAUUAAAAUCAAUACUUAAAUUUAUAAAAACAAAUAAACAAAUGCAUUUUAGUGUGCCUACAAAAUAAAAAAAGCAAUUUAAUUUUUUUUUCUUACUAUUAUAUAUUAUAUCAAAUUUUAUUAAAAAAAAGUAUAUAAAAUAUUUGAUUUGGAACAAGAGCAUUUUAAUAAUCAUACUAGUUUAUAUUCCGAUUCUGCUAAAUUAGUAAACAGCUUUAUGGAAUUAGUAUCAUUUCUAUUCGGAUUCCAGAACAUUUAAGUAUACAACUUCAACAGAAAUUCGAUUCUAAUUUCUCAUUAAUUUAAUUCCUUCUAUUUUUAUUACAGUUACGUAAAUGCAUCAUUAGUUCUUCUUUCUCUGUUUUUUAGGAACCAAAGGGCGUAUGCUGCCUUUCUUUUUCUCUUUGCUGGUGGGAACCAAAAGAAAAGCAUCCAAUGCCUUAUAAUGCUGCUGCUUUUGUUUGCUUUCUCUGUUUUCAAGGAACCGAAAGGUAUAGGCGGCCCUUCUUUUUCUCUAUGCUGAUGGGAACCAAAGGAAAAGCAUACAAUGUCUUGUAAUAUUAUCCGAUGGAUGACUUGAUUAUAAUUUUAUAAAGCCCUCUACGUUAAAAUUUGGCCAAAAUGGCAUCAGUCUAGUUAAAUAUAGCCCUCUCUUAGUUAUUUUUUCGAUUCAUCUGCUCAGUUGCAAUAACUGAUAACAUCAAAUGGUAGUUUAACUAAAUCAACCAAUAAAUUUAAAGUAUGAACUGAAAAUUAAUAAAUUAUUGAUAGGUCAUCUCUAGGCCAUUCGGUUGAAGAUGAUAUAUGAGUUUGACAUGUCAUUGUUUAUUCAAAAAUAUUUUUUUGCAUAAUUAUAAUUCUAAAUGAGACUAUGUUUAGCUUUUUCGAUUGGAGAUUGCCUAAAGAUCUGCCAAAGCGAUCAAACAAAGAUCAUUUAACCGUGGUUAGUGUGACCAAAACUUGAAAGUAGAAUUAACUAAACUGAAAGUUUUCUCAUAACUCUAUGGUUACACCAAAGCUCACCUUCCUUGCCUUUUUGCAUUGGUAAUGAACAAAUUAACGGAAUAUGAUCAGAGAGAUACAUGAAUAUGGACCUAGCUUCUCUGCCCUCCCAGUUCCCAUACACUCUCAUCCCCUCCUAUUUGUGCGGUCAUGAUUAAGCCACAUCAACAUUUUAUAUUACUAUUGAUUUUUGUCUUAUUAUCUCUAUAAAAAAUCAAUUCAGAAUAUAUAUUCAUGGGACCUGGCUUCUUUGCCCUUCCAGUUCCCAUACAUUCUCGUCCCCUCAUAUUUUGUGCGGUCACGGUUAAGCCACAUUAACAUUUUAUAUUACCAUUGCUUUUUGUUUUAUUAUCUCUAUAAAAAAUCAAUAUAAAAUAUUAACAUGGCUUAACCGUGACCGCACAAAAUAUGAGGGGACGAGAAUGUAUGGGAACGGGAAGGGCAAAGAAGCCAGGUCCCGUGAAUAUAUAUUCAGAUAAGAAAGUUGGGAACUUACACACAAGUCAGAAGUCUUGCAUCCAAUUGCUUUGGUGAGAAAAAGGCAACGAAGAAUAAUAAGGGCUGGUUUGGUAUUGUGUGCUUUGAAAAAAAGCUGCUGUGAGAAUAUGAAAUAAAGCCAGUAGAGUGUUUGGUAAACUUUUUUGUGAAAGUGCUUUUGGAAAAAAAAAAACAGGAUGAUAGUGUGUCUUUUCAUUAAAGGAGCACUGUAGCUCCGUGUGCUUUGAAAAAACUGGCUUUUUUUCAAAGCAGCAAAUAGCAGCUUCAGCUUUUCCUUUGAUUUUCAGCUUAUUCUCACAGCAGCUUCCAAAAUAAGCCCUUUUUUUCAGUUUACCAAACACAAAAAUGACCCUCAGCUUUUUUUCACAGUGGCUUUUUUUUUAAAUCACCUCAAUCCCAAACGGGGCCUAAGUCCCAACAAGGAAGCUUCUUGGAAAUUACUCAUCAGUCUUCCACUCUUUUUUUUUCCUGGAAAAUUCUUCUCCUUUAACUUUGGUGGUACAUGUGUCGACGUUUUUUCUUCAGCUUCUCUUCUUGAACGAGUAUUGGAAAGUGCACAGCUCUUGCAUGUGGAUUUCUUUGUUGCUUCUUUGAGGGAGAUUUAUAAUGCCCGGAAUCAUUAGAGCGGUGUGGCUCAAAUUUAUUCUCAUUUCGCAUCGUAUUUUAACUUUGUGGCAUGACAACACAUAAUAGUUGAUUACACCGACGUCUUGACGUUUUGUUUAUAUAAUUUAUUCGUUCUUUCCCACAUAUAAUGUUUUCUGUUGAGAGUUUAAUUUGCUUUGUUACUUGAUGGUUGUGUGAUGGUGUUGGUUGGUGAUGGAGCUGCUUGCUAGGUCCUUCCAACUGAUCUUUGGUUCAUUACUGGAUGACAACGUUUGAUCGCUGAUGUUCUCACUAAAUUAGUAUGUAUUCUUCCGUUUCAUCCAAUUUUAUCUUUAUACUUAUAUGAUGAAACCUUUUUUUUUGUUUUUUUUUUUGUUUUUUGUUUUGAGAAGUUAUGUGAUGAAACAUUCAAAUCAUUCAAAUGAAACCAAUCUUAGAGGUUAGAUGCAGUGGACCUGUAGUUUAAUUUGAUUAAAGGGAGGUAUGGCUGAGCUCAUUUUUUUUAGUAGUAAGUGUUGUGCGGAAACGUCAAAUUUGAACCCAAUAAACUAAUACAGAAAAAUUUGACAAAACAAGCAAUUCAAAGUGACACAAGGUUUUAUACUAGUUUGGCAUAAGUCUACAUUCAGUUUGGAAACGACAAGGAAACUCUAGUAAUAAUCAAAAUGAAGAUGACAAGUAGAGUUUUUAACUCAAAUAAAAAAUAAAUGAAUAAGAUAAAAAUACACACCAAUUCCAUCUCUUCCAAAAAUCACAAAAUGUAGCACCAAUAUCAUGAAUGAGUAAUCGCCCAAAAUGUAGUAACCAUCUCUCUCCCAUUUAUUCUUUUCCUCAUCUUCAAUUUCCUCUCUUGUUACAACUUCUCUGUGAGAAUUUUCGGUGUGAUUUUUAUGCUUCUUUCCUUGCCAUUUGUCACUUUUCUCUGCCUAAGUUUGUACUGAUCCUGUACCUUUCUCUGAGUCCUUAAUCUCUUUGGCUUAAUAUACAUUUUCAAUUACCAAAACAAUAUUUAAAGUUUCUAUUUUCAUUUCACCGCUCAUUUUUGUUUUACUUGUUCAUUGACUACUGUUUUUGUUUGCAGAACCCCUCUUCUGGUAGCUGAAUAAAAUUCAACGGCUUAAACUGAAUUAUCAUGGACUUAAGAUGAAAUCAAAUUAUCAAAUAUGUGUUGACAUGGAAUCAAAUAUCUAACCGCAGUAAGUCCAUGUAGUUACGAAUAAAAAUUGCAUCUUGUAAAUUAUCAAAAGAAGAUUUAACGUUUCAAUUUUUUUUUGUUUAAUUUUACAACAUUGAUCUUCUAUCUUUUUACUUGUUCAUUCAAUUAUUGUUUCAUGUUUGCAGUACCGAUUUACAUCAACUACCUUUUUUCGAUGGCAUUAAGCACCCAAAGAGCCUCGGCAUCUUUUGUUUUGAAUGAAUCAGCUCCUCGAUGGAAGUAUGAUGUGUUUUUGAGUUUCAGGGGUGUAGACACCCGCAAGGGUUUUGUAUCCCAUUUAUACCAUGAAUUGUGCAAUUGCCAAGGAAUUACGACUUUCAUGGACGAUCGAGAUCUUGAAGGAGGAACAAGUAUUCAUCUUGAGCUCCCGAGUGCGAUCAAAGAAUCGCACAUUGCAAUCGUUGUUCUCUCACCAAACUAUGCUUUUUCCAAAUGGUGCUUGAAUGAACUUACAGCCAUUCUUCAAUGCAUGGAAUCCAGGAACUCUAUUCUGCCGGUCUUUUAUGAGACAGAUCCAUCUGACGUUGGAAAUCAACGGGGACGUUUUGCCGAAGCCUUCGCGAAGCAUGAAGAAAAUUCGAGCAGUACCGAAGAUAAAAGGAAGGUGGUCCAAUGGAAAGCUGAUCUAAAAAGAGUGUCCAAAAUUUGUGGUUGGCAUUCGAAGGAAUAUAAGUAAGCAUGCACGAACAACUUUAAUUUCCCAUGUCUUAGUAGAGUCAAAAUUGAAUGCUUCGUUUAUGUUUUUUUGAUUGGUUAUUUCAUACCAUGUAGGAGCGAAAGUGAGAUUAUACAACAACUCGUCAAAAGUGUGUGGAGGAAAGUGCAAGCUACAUUCCCGUUGUUAGAUUCCUCACAGGAAUUAGUUGGGGUUAAUUCUGGGCUUGAGCAACUAAGUUCGUUGUUAGCUCAUGAUGUCAAUGAUGUUCGCUAUAUAGGGAUAACGGGGAUGGGUGGCAUUGGUAAGACAACCCUUGCUAAGCUAGUUUAUGAUAGAAUCUUCCAUCAUUUUGAAGUUCACUGCUUUCUUGAAAACGUUAGAGAGGCUUCUAAAGCAGACCCUACUCUAAUUCGUCUUCAAAAAACACUUCUUUCGCCGAUGUUGAAAGAAAAGAUUCUCACACAACAAUGGGGAAUCAAUUACACCAAGAGAUGCUUAUGGAACAAAAAGGUUCUUCUUGUACUUGAUGAUGUGGAUCACAUAAACCAACUACAAGUACUAGCUGGAAAGGAAGAUUGGUUUGGCAUGGGAAGCAUAAUUCUCAUUACAACUAGAAAUGAACGUCUGCUAGUCGAGCAUGGCAUAACAUUAUGUCAUAGUGUCAAAGUGUUAAAUGAUGAUGAAGCUCUUGCGCUGUUUAGCCUGCAUGCCUUUAAGAAAAAUCUGCCUGAUGAUGGGUUUUUGGAACUGUCUAAGUAUUUCAUUAAUUAUGCUGGAGGCCUUCCAUUAGCUCUAAAAACUUUGGGGUCGACAUUGUUUAAGAGAGGGCUACAUGAUUGGAAUAGUGUGCGGGAUAAUCUGUCAAAAGUUCCUAAUCCAACAAUUUUUGAUAAACUUAAAAUAAGUUAUGAUGGACUAGAAGAGAUGGAGAAGAGCUUUUUUCUUGAUGUUGCAUGUCUCCACAAAGGGAAGCACCGGGAGGAAAUAAUUGAAAUACUAGAUAAUUCUUUUGGAAUUUCUAGUUGUUAUAGGAUAAAUGUACUAAUUGAGAGAUCUCUCCUCUAUCAAGAUCACAAUAAAUGCAUACGGAUGCAUGAUUUGAUACAAGAAAUGGCAUGGACAAUUAUUGGUCACUACUCUACAGAACCUGGUCAACACAGUAGGUUGUGGCUUUACAAUGACAUCUGUCAUAUAUUCACAACGAAUACGGUAAGAAGUUAAAUACCAAGUUUGGAAGAAGAUAUGAUUUCUUUUGGCACUAUAUUAGACUUGAAAGUAAAAUUAAUUUGUCCUUUUUUUCCUUAUUUGUUAGGGAACGGGAGCAAUUGAAGCCAUAUCAUUACGGCUGCCCCAAGUAGAAGAGGCACUCCAGUGGAAUUGCGAAGCCUUCUUUAAGAUGGAUGGACUAAGGUUUUUGGAAUUCGAUAAUUUGAUCUUUUCUUCAGGCCCCAAAUUUCUUCCAUGUUCCUUGAGAAUUAUAAAUUGGAGUUUCUAUCCUUCUAGUUUUCUUCCAACCAGCUUUCACCCGCGCUUCCUUGCUCAACUUAAGAUGCGUGAAAGCAAUCUUGUUCGACUUUGGGAGGGAAAAGUGGUAAGAGUAGCUAUGAACAAAGGAUAAUAUUUGGGUAGUCAUUAGUUAGUACUCACUUGUUUACUUUGUCCAAUGAUAUUAGAACAAAUAUUUUAUUAUUUUUCUAAAAUAAUAGACGUGUUAUUUUAUUUUUCUCGAGUUUUAAAAACAUGGAACACAUGACAUUUUUUUAUUGGACCAAAUUAAAAAAAUGAGUAUAUAGAGUAUUCAGUAGUAAAUGCCUAAGUUUUAUCCAUCCUUGAAUAAAUGCUAUUUAAUUUACAAAAUAAUAAUAUAUUUAUUUAUUAUUUUGAAUAAACUUUAAGGUUGUAGAAGAUACAUAUAUGAUCUGAACCUUAUCGGUGUUGUACAGGACUUGCCAUACUUGAAAUGUAUCGAUCUUACCGAUUCCAAUAAAUUGAAGAGUACCCCAAAUUUCAGUGGUCUUCCAAAUCUUGUGGAUUUGAUUCUUCGGAAUUGUAAGAAUUUAGUUGAGAUACACCCGUCUAUUGCAAUCCUCAAAAGACUUAAACAUUUGUUUCUCAGUGGCUGUGAAAGCAUUAAGAGCCUCCCAAGUGAGGUUGAAAUGGACUCUCUUCAAUCUUUAGAUCUUGUUGGCUGCUCAAAUGUGAAAAAGAUUCCAGAAUUUGGGGAGCAGAUGAAGAAUUUAUUCACGCUUGACUUAAGUGAGACUGCGAUCGAGAAAAUACCUUCAUCAAUUGGACAUCUGGUUGGCCUUAGGGAAUUGCAUGUAAGGAAUUGCAAAAAUCUCUUGAACCUUCCAAGGGCUAUUUGUAAUUUGAAGUCUCUCAAACAUCUACAAUAUGGGAUCGACUAUGACGCAGCCCCUUGUGGAUCGGAUGGUAAAGCAAGCGAGCGGUGGGGGGGCCUUCUCCGCUUAUUAGGACUUGAAAAGAGUCGCCCUGAUCCUCUUCCUUGGUGGAGUUCGGUGUUGUCUUCUCUAAAUCGUUUCUGCUCUUUGACACACUUACAGCUAAAGAAACGUAAUAUCCAGGAGGGGGAUAUCCCCGAUGAUAUUGGCUGCUUGUCUUCAUUGGAAGAAUUGGAUCUUUGUGGAAAUAAUUUCAUCAGUCUACCUGAAAGCAUUAGACGCCUUUCUAAGCUUAGGAAACUUAUUCUGGUGAGGUGCAAAAGCCUUCAACAAUUGCCACCUCUUCCAUCACAGAGCGAAAGUGAAUUUGACUAUGACUGGACCUGGAACUUAUUUGUUCAUGUAGACAUUUGCACUUCCUUACGAAGGUUCUCAGAUCCAUCCAAUUUGUAUGGUGUUUGGGUCACUUGCCUGAAUUGCAUUGCAUUGGUUCCAGAUGAAGGCUGGAUUAAGACAAUACUCUCAGGGGUUGUAAGAUACGCGGUAUCUCUCUCUCUCUCUCUCUCUCUCUCUCUCUCUCUCUCUCUCUCUCUCUCAAUACAAUAAAUAAUUGAUCCUUCUUCUUCUACAGCCAUUCGGUCCGAUGAACGCUGUAAUCCCUGGAAGUGAAAUCCCAGAGUGGUUCAAUAAUCAGAAUGUGGGACAUUCAAUAAAUGUGGAGGUUCCUCCAGGUGACGACUUGCUGGAGCUUGUCAUCUGUGCUGUUUUUCAAGACCCUUCCCAAAACUUGGCAAAUCCAGCUGCCCUUCGUCAUUAUGAUAAUUUCGAAAUUAUGUGUUUUGGGAACCCUCCUAUAGGUACUAAUGGUGUGAAAUACGGCAUAGGGUCUCUUGUGUCAGAACACCUUUGGAUAUUUUCUUGUCUGUGUCCUCUUCGUGAAGAUUGUCAUCAGAAACUGUUAUCUUUCGAAACUUUUUUUGAUGGGAAACUAAAAGCAGAUUGGCAUGUGGUGAAGAAGUGUGGGGCUCGUUUGGUGUACAAGCAAGAUUUGAAAGAACUCAACCGAAAACUACUGAAAUGAACACGGGAAAAUCAUGACGAGGCAACUACACGGCAACUCCGUUUUGACGAUCAAAUGAAUUUGCGGCCUAUGCAUGGGUGAAGUGCGAGAGGGAAGAGGAUAAAGAUUGCUAUGAAGUUCUGAAACAAGAAGCGAAUGUUAAUGGUCGUCCAGGUGCUGAAUUUGGAGCUGAAGAUCGAUAUGUUCGUCUCACCCUCUUAAGGACCCAAGAUGAUUUUGAUUUAUUGCUUCAGCGACUCAACUCCUCAAGUAGGGUGUCAAUACGUGGCAUAAUCUGCUACAGAGAAACAUUGCAGAAAUAUAGUAGAGCACUACUCGUGCUCCCUUAUGUACGUUUGUAGAAAUAUAGGAGAGCACUACUCGUGCUCCCUUAUGUACGUCUAUAUAUAGCAGUCACCAUUUAGUUUCGGAAGAAAGACAAAGCCAACAAACCAUAUGUAAACCAUUUGAUCGCAAAAUAACUACCUCACAAUCUUUGUGGGCAUUUUUUUUUUCCUGUAACUCUCUUAAACAGAAUUCCUCAGUUCUGUCAACAUUUUAGUGCCCUGAACAUGCCACAAAAUAAAUCAAAGUAAAUAAUGAGAUCAAUACACAACCUUUGUCACUUUGAAGUUCUACAAACAUAUGGUGCAUAUUUACCGCAUAACGCAACUGGUAAGCUCCAUAAUGUAAAUUCUCCAGACGGCUGGAAAAUAUCCCAACAAAUACUUUAGGCUCCUCAACAGGGUUUUGACCUACUAUUCAAUUUGAUUCUAGGACUCCAGUCCAAUCUCACGUCUCAAACUGAAGCCAUAUUAUACAAUCCUAAUAGGAAAAACGACCUAUGAAAGUUUCAUACCUUGGAAUUUAUUACUUUAAUUGCAAUAAAGCCAGGUAACGGCCUCCCACCAUCUGACGAAAAGAUCCUUCCAUGUAUUCCUAUCUAGAGGGUAUAAGUUGAGUGUAAUUAAACGAUAUCACACCCAUCUAAAAUUAAACAUUUGAAAUAUUGGAAAUGGUGUCAUGCGAGAAUUUUCGCUCUAAAUCUCAAAUGUUUCACACAGAGAAAGUUAUUUCAAGAAUACUUAAAAUGCUAUGCACUUAUGAUUACUCUUCUCAUGAUCAAAACAACAUGUGAAUCAAGUACCAUGGAAUCAAUCAACAGACCACAAGCUAAAAUAAGUAAACAUUCAGUCCCUGUGGUAAGACCAUCUAAUAACAUAUUGAUAGGCAGCCAUAACAUACCUUGGCUACAGUUGCAACGAGAUUAAGCAUGCUCAUUUUGUUGCAUCCCCAAAGAGUCAGAAGCUGCAUGUUUAUACGCAUUAAAGACAACACGUCAAACAGCUAAAUGAUAAAAAUGUCGUACCCAGUGCACAAGGCUCCCGCUUUACGCAGGGUCUGGGAGAGGUGAAUGUCAGCUAGCCUUACCCCCAUUUAUAGAGAGGCUGCUCCCAAGUCUCGAACCCGAGACCUACCGCUCAUGGGCGAAGGCACUUGCCAUCGCACCAGCUAAAUGAUAGUAAGUUAAAAUGAAAGGGAAAUAAUCUCCUAGGCCAAUAAAAGUCACUUGUGCCAAUUGAUCAUCCAAUAAAAGUCCUUGAGUCUUCCUAACUAAAUGGAUAUAAAACUACCAAAAAUUCCCAUAUCACAAAUCAACUAGAACCUGUAAAUAAGCAAGAAUGCAAAGCUUAUGUUAAUAGGAAACAAGAAACAGGCAAAAAACAUAUAACUAACAUUGUGCCUCGUGUAUAGGUGAGGAACAAGAAACAUAACAUGAUAUUAGAAUAAUAUCAAGAUUUGAAGCAAGGACAGAGAGAAAAUAAUCGGCCAUGUUAGGAUACCGAGUAACCCAAAUUUAUCCUAGGUUAUUCACAAAGUAGACACUGAAAGUGUUGAGUGAAGCUUCUCUUUAAACAGACAUCAAGAUAUAUUCCCUACCUAAAACCUUUUAAUGAGGUGAAAUUUUAGAUUUUGAAAACACUGACAAGAUUAAUGGAUCCUCUCCCACCCCCCAAAAAAAUGCAAGUCUCUUUGAAGUGUCCAAGUCAUCAGAUUUUGUGCCUACAAUUUUGAACCUGAACAAUGAAAGACAAACAAAAUAAAAAUACAGGGCUCCUGUUCAAGUUGAGCUAAAGUUUGAGGAAGAGCAUCGUUCUCGACUAGGAAGAGCCAGCACCAUGCAAGGUUCCGUCCCCACCCCCCUAAGGUCCAUUGGACCUAUGGCUACACCAAAGGUGUAACCGUAUCCCCAUAUACAAGAUAAACUUGGCUAAAGAAAAUAGUAUUUUAUAUCAAGGUUGCAAACACUCGCAUAACUGAUGCCUGGCCUCAUUAGCAGCAGGCCAUUUAUUAUCACUAAUCUCCAAGGUCAAUUCAAAACAGCCACCAUUAUGUAGUUACAGUCUUGCAUGCCUCCAU
rnacentral:lncRNA from 1 species